GCUUCAUUACACUUUCUUGCUUUUAAUUUUUCGUUUCGUGAGAAGCGUUAUCAUAUGAUUCUUCGUCCAAAACUAUCUUUUGAUGUGCAAAUGUGAUUCAAGAAAACACAAUAAUUAGUGCGAUUGAUAAAGUUUGUUCCUUCCGUCCAUUUCACGGAAGAUCUAUUGGUAAUUCUGCUUCACCUGGAAAAACAAAACUGUUCUUGAAUUAGACUUCGCUGCUGUAUAUUUGACUCGAGUCUCAUCUUCAAUUAUUGAUAUGGAACAUUGGAUUUGGGCCCAGAAAUGCCUGGUUACUCACUUACAGUCAUCUUAAAGUUCUAGCAUCUGUUUUUAUCUGUUACAGUGGCACAAAAUGGCUUAAUAUGAUAAAAUAAUGAUAUCGUGAAUAUAUAACUUUCAGCUAACAUUUAAAAUUACACCAACUGAAAAGUUUAAUGUAAGCUCGAUUUUUAAUUAUUAGAAAGGUGAUUAUGCCAAAUAAAUGCUACUGUGAUAACUAUACACAUUAUUUCAUUUGGUCGUAACACAACAAAAUUGGGCCGGGUAGGGUUGUAAUAUUAGAGAAGCUGCAGGCAAAAAUAUAAUGCAAAUCAGAGAGAUUUCCCCCUAGAGUCUAAUUAUUUAAAGAUUAAAAAAUCUCAGCUUAGUUAUGCUUUGAACUUUUUUGAAUUCAUCACUAUCAUGUUUUAGAACAUUUCGAGGCAAUAAAUUGAAUAGUCAAUUAUUCCCCCCCAUCUUCUUACACUUGAUAUUCAACUUCAUCUUUCAUUUUGUUCUUCUGUCUUGUACUAGACUGUCAUAGUAAAUGGAAAAUGUUGGAAGACUACCAUUUUUCUUCAAAGAUUCAACCCUUAAAUGCUCAAUGGUAUCCUAUGGAUCCCUAAAUGAACAGCUGGAAAAAUGUCGGGCUUUGAAAUGUUAUUGAUAAAAAAAUUGCAAUAAUAGGCACUCUUUCUAUACACUAAACUCCCGAUCCUAUGGUUCAAACUCCAAUACUUAACCUAGACAAAAUAUACAGCAAGACACUUCAUGAUCAACUUAAUACAUUAGCACAACUUGGACAACUUAUGGAUGCUCCCAUAUUGGAAGAAAAGUCCCAUUUAGCUAAAAUAGUUAUAAAAUAUAAACUUAUCAAGAAUAACUACUUCUUUAGAUCUUAGUUUAACAAUUGACUGCUAAAUGCCCUCCCUUUUUUCUUCUUAAUUUCCUUGAAACAAGUGCCAUCGAUAUUUCAAAUAUUGCAGAGAUCAUUGAGGCCUCACUAAUGAUAUGCAAUACUAGCUUUCCUCACUUAAUCCUUGGGAAGUUAUGGUCAUCAAAAGUUACACUCGGAAUACGCAAGCAUGCCUGCUUGCACUACAUGGGGCUUGUAUUGGUUAAUGUGUGAUGAGAGGUGUCUCUCCACCAUCGAGCCAAUCAGCCACCGAUAUGAAUAGAAGAGCAGAGGCUAGCUAUAAAUCCUCUUCAAGUACUACUAAUUUAAAGAUAAUAUAAAUUCUUUAUAGAAUGGUAUGAGAAAGUCCAAGGGUUACAAUUAAUAUUUCAUAUACUUGUGGAGUUCAAAUUCUUACUUUCUGAACUUUGAUUAUCUUGGAUUCAUUUUGCAGAACUUAUGGUUGUUGAUUAGGAUAAAAUAUAGCUAUUCAGCUGAUGUCUGUGCAUGUCGUGAUACUAUAGAAACUACACAUCACUGAAAAAAGUGUCCUACAACACAUGGAUGAUAUCAGUAGAACCAUAUGAAGGAUUGUCUUGAGUGGAUAUUUCUUGGAGAUUGCCAAAAGUAGGAAAUAUGAGAAUGGUCUAUUAAAGGUCCCAUGGGUCAGUUUUUACACAAUUUAUUAAAAUUUUAGCAGUAUUAUCUUUGAAUUUUAACGUAAUGCCAUCUUAUUAAUGAUGGGCAUACUUUUGAAAGUUCUCCAUACCCUGGCCUGUUUACGCGGACAUAUAUAUUAUUUAAAAUGCUUUUCUGAGCCAUUUGUUUCUUGUUUUGGUAUUCUGACCACAUCUGAUGCUAUCAUGCAAGCUAAUAUAGUAGCAUGUGAGAGCUCAGCUGGUGAAUAAUGCCUAGUGGUUUGAUUAGUUGUGUCUGAUGCUUCCAUUGUUCAUUGAAUUUAUUUGUCUCUUAUGAUUAAGUUUUUUAUUUAAAAAAAAAACAGGUUGCUUAGGAACAGGGUUUCUGCUCAGCAAGCUAGAGAAAGAAAGAAGGUUUAUGUGAAUGACCUAGAAUCCAGAGCCAAAGAGUUGCACGACAAAAAUUUGAAGUUAGAAGAAAAAAUUUCAACUUUGAUCAACGAGAACACUAUGCUUAGGAAGGUAUAUCCAAGAUAUUAUUUUCCCCUGAUCAAUAAGUUUCUAUAAAAUGGGUCACCUGUAGCUUCAGUUUUAAUCUUUGUCUAUUUUUAUUCUUUUCUGCAGGUUCUUAUGAACACCAGGCCUAAAGUUGAUGAAGGUAUUGAGCCACAAAAUGAUGUGCCAGGCAACAGUUAGCAAUUAGGAUAUCCAAGUUACUGUUUCACGAAUUAUUGUAAGAGAAGAAGUGAAUAUAUCAAAACUAUACAUUUGGAGUUUGUCAUAUCUUGAUGUGGAACUAGACUUGUUUGCUAUGUUUAUGAUUACUUAACCAUGUCUUCCUUGACAUUGUUCUGCUUUUUCCAAUUUGUCAGAGUUCUUUGUAAACUCUGUUUGCUUACCAUGGUUUUAAUUCUUUUGGAGCCACCCAAUCUUUCAGCCUUAAUAAACUUGCAUAUAUCACUUCUUUUGCAUAAUUUGGUGCCAAUCCAUCAUAUUACCUUUUCAUUAAAAAGCUGAAUCUUGCAGCAGCAAUAUGGACAUAUCUAAGUUUUUUUAUUGCUAGAAUCAUCACCAUAUUUCCUUUUUAUCUGUUGAACUCUUUCGGACUCUGUGUAAUAAGAUAACUGAAAAAUUACAUUUGGUACUUUUCAAUUCUGAUGCAAGUUCUACAUCAUUAACGAGGGCCUGCUUGGAGUUGCUCUUGAAAGCAACUUCAAAGAUACGAGAUGGCUCAUUAUUAAUUGCUAUACGUAUAUUGCUAUGUACGUGGAUGUAAGUUGAUGUAUUAUAAAUACUAGGUUUAUGCAUACUAUAUGCAGUUAUAUGUGAGGCAUUGCAGCCUAUCUUAACCAUGUUCGAUGUAUAUGUGCACUUGGUAGUGGUCCCGUUUCAACAUCAUCAGGCUCUUUAUCACUUCCUGAAAAUACAAAGUAUCAAAGCAAGCAUUGAUCAUCAUGGGCAAGAUACCAUAUCUUAGUUGCCGUCUUAUGAAAAUUGGAUUUAUCUGACACCGAUCACCAUUAUUGGAUGUGACUCUUGUCACAUGCUCUUCUUGAUGACAGUUUACCUGCUUUUCUCGAAUGCCCAUCUCCAUAGUCUGACAGUUAUUUGACAUGUGGUGACAAGGUCUUACCAGGUCUAGUUGAAACUCAGAACUGGAGGGAUUUUUCUCAUUCUCUUUUGUGAGGUCUUGGCUUUAUUAUCAAAUUGUAGAAGUGGAGUCAUCCCCUGUUAUCCUUUAUGCAUACUUUCACCUCAAAUUACAGUGAGGUGGACUCUUCGAGGCCAGUUGAUCCUUCCCAAAAGGUUGUCGAGGUUUUCGUUGCUCCCUUCGCACAAACCAAGGAUUUUGCUCUCCAGUUACUAAUUAAAUCCUUUGUUUUGAGUUCUCUUCAUUACCUACUGUUCCCUAGUUGCUUGUUAUAUAUCUGGUUUUGAUCCAGCAUGCAUCUUUCUGUUUGAUUGGUUGUGCCUCAUUCCUUGCAUUUGGCUGGUUUGGGUUUUGGCCCCCUAUACUAUCUUUUCUUAGGUUUUUAGUCAAUUUGUGUCAUUUCAUCAUACAUCUUCCUCCACUUGGUUACCUUGAUAUCUUUUGUUAAUUACUUAGAUUUCUCUCAUCUCUGAGCUGGUGUUAUUUCUAGUUUACUCUUGUACCUGAACUUCAGGGCAUUUCAGGUAUUGGGUUCCCUUUGUUAUAAGCUUUGAAAAUCCCUUUCGUGUAUUAGAAGCCUUCUGCUCUCUUGCAUCUUGCCUUGAUUACUAUUGAUAACCUUUUAUGACACCUAUGGAAUUUUGUGAAAGAGCUCCAAAAAGCUUGUAAGUUAACUGGAACAAAAAUGAUAAAAAAAUAUGGAAGUUGGUAUUAUUCUAUUGAAUGGAUUGAUCAUCUCUUCCCGGAUAAUCAACAAAAAAUAUUUUCAUGAAAAAAUAUAGAGUAAAAUCAGAUAUUUAAGAAUUUGUGAUCAUACAUAUCAUGGCUUGCUGGUGAUUCUGGAGAUGAGCUGUCAUAUCUCCAUGAAAAUUUGGUGAAGAAUAUGUAGAACAAUUAAAUGUCACACAAGGAGGAUGCUGGAAUGUGGAAGGAAGCUUUUAGUCAGAUGCUUUGUUUCUUCAUAAACAUUUAGUGGAAAGUAUGAAACUGAUUAAUAAAAUGAUUAAGAUAUGUAGAUUGAGCAUUUGAGAGAAGUAAUGUGGAAAUAUAGGGUGUACAUUCAUGAGGUGGGUAUGCCUUCGGUUUCAAUGUUUAAAUCAGAAUACCCAUGGGUCAUUCUCUAUUGGUGCAUAACAUGCUAAAUGUAAAAUGUGUGACCAAAGGCCUUAUAGAAGUUCGUAAGUGGGGAGGUCAUACUUAUUAUAUUUGUCUUUCACGGUGUGUUGUAUGUAUCAGCUGAUAAUUUUUUUUUUGUCCUGAAUGGACAUUGUAACAUAUAUUUCUACUUUUUUCCAUCUGCUUUUUGUGAGCUCUUACACAUUAAAGCAUCUGGCUUCUAGUUUCAUGAUGCAUUUAUAGAAUUUGUUAAUUUCGCAUCCUCACUCUAUGGAGCAUGCGAGUGGUUUGAACUCAUGUAACAUCUUGAUUUUUUGAAAUGAAAACUAAUCUGCUUUUUAUAAGAUUAGCUGUAUAACAAAUAAAGCAUGAGUUAGAUGCAUUUAUCUAGUAACUUAUUGUGCUGUAUAAAAACUAAUAGCUCUUUGAAAGAUAAUUUGGCAGAUUUCUGUCCUUCAGAGUCAUAUUACUGAAACAUCUAUGUUAAUUUCAGCUUUUAAUAGGAGGCUUUGUACGGAUGAUCUGUUGUUUUAUCUACUUCAAAAGAAUCGUUCUCUAACCACUCACGAGUAUCCUGGAUAAUUGAUGCCUCAUCACUAAAUUCUCUUGUUUCUUUGUUUCUCUCUGGAGAUAGCUAUGGUAUUUAGGUUGGUACAUUCUUGAUACAUGUUGUAUUUCAGUUCAAUUUCUUUCAAUAAUUUAAUAUUACCUAUAAAAUUUCAAAACAUUAUGGAUUUUCAAAUCCCAAUCUACAUCUCUCUCUAUUUAAGAAGUUCAUAAAAUAGUUGGAAGGCCAAAAAGAGGUUGCUUGAUAGCUUAAUAAUUAAUAAAUUAUCUAGACAUGUCUAUGCAUGGAUUUCUUUUUAAGACCGGAAAAUCUACCCCAACAAUCUCCUCAUUUCUGUCCUCUCAUAAUAUGCACAAUUGAAUUAAGUCAACUCUUGCCAUGAUUCCUCAAUUUAUCAGGUCUGGGACAGUUACCAUAAUUUGUAAGAUACUUGCUCUUGGGUUUCAUCAUCACUCUUUGCUAGAUUCAUGCAAAUUCUAGUCAUCCAGGGUAGAUCAAUUGGUUUAGUUUUUGCUUUUCUGCAUGUUAGUAGUCUGUGGCAUCGUUGUUGUUAUUAUUGUUGUCAUUGUCACUGUCCUGUACUACAUGAUGUAUGUUUUUCAUGCUUGUACAUCUCUAUGGAUUGGAUGUUGAUGUAUGCGUAGAGUUUAACUAGGCAACGUGAUUUAUAUUAAGAUUGGUUGGAUACAACCUCUGUGUAGAACAUAGCUCAUUCCUCUUUCAUGACUUCAUUCUUUACACUAGUUCUCCAAUAAAUUAAGAUGCAUAUGCCAUGACAGGCUGAGUUCGCUUGUUUUAUCCAUGUCUUCCCAUGAUGGUUGUACUUGCUGUUGCUACCUGGUAAAAUAUAUUUAUAAUUCAGAGCAAAAUUAUACUGCAACGGGCAAAGAUUCUCGUAGCUACAUCAACUUUUCCAGUGUUUUGUGGGUGUGCAUGAUGUGAGUGGCAAAAACUGGCCUAUUGCACGGUGAUCAUCAAAAUCUAGCAAGAGUUACGGUUGCUAUAUUAGAAGAACAAGGAUUGCGAUAAGGCUGCUUUCCUUUUCAUUUUGUUGGCUUUUUAUAUUUUGGAAAACAUUGAUAAAUUCCAUAUUGUUCGGAUACUUUAACUGAGAGUAGGAAGCCUCAUCACAACCAUUUCAGAUCGGCUUUUUGAAAUGCCAUAUAUUUGUUCCUUCAUUAUUACAGCUGUCAGCAAACUUGGCAUUCUUAAACACCUUUAUUACCUGGUCUUGGGACCAACUUCCAUGGUUUUAGAUCUCAUUUUCUUUUGUUACUGGACUUAAAACAAAUCUUGAUUGUUUGCAGAGAAUUACUAGGCAGUUGGCUGAUCUUCAAGCUCCCUCUGUUUUUCUAGGUAAAUAUAUCUUUGUAGGAACAGUUCAUUUUCUAGGUGCCUUUCUUGUAGAAUUUUAUGAAUGAAUUUUUAUAUCCUCAUCCCAAAUGACUGUGUUUGAUGUUAUGUUCAGUAUGAUAUCUUCAAGAUUAGAAACCAACACAUCAUAUGAUAUCUUCACAUCCUGGACAAUUUGCUUCGUAGUUCAUCUUUCUUCUUAGUUGCUAAAUGAACCCAUAAGCUCGGGGCACUGUUGUCGGAACACCUUAUUUGACCAGCAAUCAGUCAUAUGCUUUCGUUUCAAUCUUCAAGACACAUACCUAGUUUUCAUUGAGGCUGCUUAUUGAUUGCAUCUGUUUUUCAUUGAUUUGCUGAUGUUAGAUUCCUUAUCAAGUUCCUGGACAUCCAUUGUUUGAGCGUGUUGUUGGUGGUGAACUGUAAAGCUUGUCUUGGCAUUGACAGAUGUAAGUUAUGGAAUGCCAAAGGGAUACCCACCUGAUAGUGCUAGGAAGAUUCAACUAGUAAUUUUGAUGUUUAGGGCCUCUAGACUUUUCAAUAAUGAUGCAACGGCGCCACUUAUGGAUUGAUUUGAUUCUUCGCUAUGGCAGGUCAUAAUUUAGUGCUUUUGUAUGGAACUCCUCAAUACAAUUUUACCUGACGUUAUAUCUUACAUGUGUUUGCAAGAUUCGCUUGACUCCUCUCUCUUUAUGUUUUUUUUUUUAAUGAUCCUGUGACCAGUUAUCGACCUACUCAUAUCCUGAUGUGUUUCGUAAGCCAAUAAUUUUAUCUCCUCAUUCUUCCUAGAGGGCUUCAUAUCUCAAUUGCAAGGGUAUCUCUUUUGUUGCCUCAUUUGUAUGAAGGCUUUUCGACUGUAUACUGAAGAACUUUAGCUAGAAUUUUGUCUAGGUGCCUUUUGAUUCGAUCAGACACCCUUCUUUGUCAUAACCUGUUGGCGUGAUAUGGCUGGUUUGUUGACAUGACAUUUCUAGGAAGUCUUUUGGACAAUAAGAAUGUAACAGAAAUUAUGAAAUCAUUGAGCUUUAUAUUUAUCACUGAACCAGGGAUCCAAGCUUAGUCAAUGACGCAAGGUGUGAGGAAAGCUACCACUUUCCAAUAAACAAAAGGAGAAAUCUAAUUACUUGAAGAUGGAGUAGGUAAAGAUGGAAUAGGGGAGUGGGGGGACAAAGCAGCACUUUAACAAGUUUUAGAUAAUUGGUGAUUAGUUCCUUCUUGUUAAGGUCAAUUGUCAUUAUUACUUGGCCCUCCACCAACAUCCUUUUCCUGAAUGAAAAGUUAAACCACUUUAUCUUUUUCUCUCUUAUUGCAUGUGACCGACCAAGUUGGACUAGCUUUAGUCUGGUAGUCAAUUGUCUUUAGGAGACUGCAGUUGUUUUUAUGCAGUUAUAAUCAUCAUGAAGUUCUGGAAAAGUAUUAUUACACACUUACAAUUCAUAUAUUCAUUCAAAUUUUGCGGAUGCUGUUAGAAAGGCUGCGCUGGAUGAACUUCUGUGCAGAUGACAAAUACUUCCAGCUGAAAAUGUUGAAUCAGCAUAGUGGAAGGGGAUUCAAAGUGCACAUCAUAUUAGUUAUCAAGAAAAUAUUUGAUCAUAAUUUCUUGAUCAGCCAAUUCACUCGGUAAAUAGUUUCUGAAUGAUCGAACUGAGUGUAUUCUUAUACAAUAGCUAAUAAGUUUUAUUUCUGUUUCAAAUUAUUGUAACCGGUAACCGAUACCAUUUUGAUGGGACAAACAUUGCUUGAUUUUGCAUGCUAUUUGCUGUUAAGUUAUUUUGCAGUUCUUCUUUCAGAUAUAAAUUUCAUGCACCUACUUUCUUGGCUCUUCUUCCCACCCAAAUUGGUCUUAAAUUCUCAAUAUCAUCUUAAAAUCUUGGAAUUCAUUGCUUUAGAGCUUUAGGCUACAACCAUGAAUAGUUGGUGAAUAUGGGGCUGCUGCCACCAUGUGAUUGGAAGCUUCUGCCUUCCCCAAGCAAGGACAUUACAGCUCUGAUUCAGUCAUUUAGACCAAUGAAAUGAUCGUUAUCAAGUGACCGUUGCUUGUUCUUGUCAAUAGCUGUCUUCUUAAAGAGUGGGUCCUUAUUCUUGUGCUUAGGGGAACGAUGAUUAGAUUAAUGACAUGAACACCCGCCUUCCAAUAUUCUCACAUCCAUCUUAUCGUCUUACACUUUUUUUUUGCGUUCAUGAAUUCGAACGAUAGGAACUGAGCACAGCAUCCUAUAGAUGUCUCUUGGUUUCUUAGUUUUCUAUUCAUUUAACUAUGAUAACAUUUGAUGAAGAUAUCUUCUUAGCCCGGAAGAGUUAAGCAGUCAUCGAUGCUCUCACUACUGUCUUGCAGCCCUCUCUUACAAUUUCACCACAACUUCUUCUAAGUAGAUUCGAUCAAUAUUCUUUACUUUUCUUCUGAGUCGUACUUAUUAGUUUCAUAAUAUGGAAACAUGCGUUUGAUUCCCAGGUCUUUUAUUAUAUCAGUAAAUUGGUUUGGUGCUUGCAUGCCGGAAGAUACCAUUCCCAUGACAAAUGGGCCACCAUCGACAAUUUCUUCAUCAUUUGAUGGUUCCAUCCGGAUUAAAGUGACCACUUGUUGUUUCUUAAUCACAAAGGUCCCAUCACUCCUUCAUGUGGGAGACCAGAUUAAUCCAUCUUUUAUUACUAUACUAACGUUAACAAUUUCAAAUGUACAUCCAAAGUCUUCCUUCCAGUUUCUAUUGCCUUGCAAGCAAUUAACAAAUGGUGUGGUCAUCUUCUCCCCACCGACAUCCGCUGAAGUAGACAUCGAUGGCUAACAUACUUACAAGGAGCGUUGUACAAGUUCCAGAGUUAUUCCUACCUCCAUGUUUGGUCUACAUCCUUAAUGAGCUAGAAUUUCUCUUCUUUUUCUGUGUCUCAGGGGCGAGCAUUGAAUAUUUAACUAACUAGUACUGCAGAGAACAAACUAUGGUGCUGCAUAUAGUGACCAAGAUAUUAAUGGGGCUAUUGCAAGGGAAAUCCUUGGGACGGUCUUCUUUGUAUGUGAAAAAAAAAAAAACUUAGGCACCAUUUGGAUCGAGUAUAUGUUUCUGGGAUAAGAAAAAGUUCUACCGAAAGUAUUAAUUUACUCCAAUAUAAACAGGUAUGAAAUUUGGCUACGAUGAUUAGCUAGGUCUAGAGAGACAUCGGCGGCAUAGAUGGUAUCACCUCUUGCUUCGAGACAUUCGAACCAUAGUUAGUGGCAGGCCAAGCUUGUUUACGGAGAGGCUAACCAUGCUGCGAACUACAAGGCCUCCUAUGUGUAACCAAUCACUUCGAAGGUGCCAUAUGCAUUGAAAAGAGGGAGCUGCCUAUUUUAUGUUCGGGUGAAAAUGGUGUUAUACUGGGCAGUGGUUGCUUGCUCAUUGUAUGUCUACUGAAUAUGAAUGUUAUUUGGGGAUAAACGUGCCCCAAGGAUUUUUUUAUGAGACCGGACAAAUAUACCCUUCAAAUCCUAUUAUACUAUGAUAUUACAUUAUAGAUUAUAGUAUAAUAUCUAAUAUAAUAUUAUGAUAUCAUAUAGUAUUAUAUUGUACGUGGAUGCAGGCACUCCGUGAUUCCAAGAAAGGAAGGAAGCGUUCCCCAUCUCCUAGACCGGAAAAGAUGCGGCUACUUUCCGCCACCUCCUCUUGCCCUUGUUACGCAGGGCACUCAACCAUAUGUUUAAUAAGUAGCCAUUCCUACGGUUAAGGUGGGUGAACCAUAAAGUGCCUGUUACUUGUUCAUUAGCUUUUUGCCAAACUAAAGAAAUAUAAAUUAUGGCUGGACAGAUUGAAAGCAUGUAACGUCUAAAGAUGGAAUCUUAGGGGAUCCAAAGAAAGUAGAGAUUGUAAUGGAGUGGAGCAAUCAAAAUAAUAUUUUUGAUAUUGCCGCAAAUUUUUGAAAUUGGUAGGUUAUUAUAGAAGAUUUGUUGAUGGAUUCUCAAAUAUAGCGAUGCCCUUAGCCCAUUUAGCUCAGAAGACAGUCAAUUUUGAAUGGUCUGCAAACAUGCGAGCAAAGUUUUCAAGAACUAAAGAAAUGGUUAACAUACUUUCUGGUGGUGGUGGUGGUGUUUCACUACUUACGUUAAUGGCGAUUCUAAGAAAUAUCUAGUUAUAUUUUGAUGCAUCAUGGCAAACCCGUAAUUUAUGCUUCCAUGCAAUUAAAAUUUUAUGGCCAAAAAUUGAUUUCUUUUAAAUUUCCUUCUUGAAGUACUGCAUUGUAAGAUAAGAUUAUAAUAUUUAAUUUUAUAUGAUAUUAUAUAAUAAUAAUAAUAAUACUAUUCACUAUCUUAUAUUAAUAUAAUACAAUAUGAUUAAUAUAAUAAAAUAUUACAAUAUAGAUUAUUGUAACCAUAGAGGCAGUAUGUGUCACCUCCUAUUUAAUACAAGGAUAAGAGGAAGGCACAAAACUAGGUUGUACCUAGGUUUAAAGUUAGGCCAGUGUUACUUAAAUACAACUUAAGCUUAGUUUAAUAGACCAAAUAAUCAUGAUAACCUAUCCCAUCCGACAGCUAAAGGUGUCUGGGAGUUAACCCUACAUAAACCACAUUUAUCCCCCCUUUCAAAUGGUGUACUAAUGAACUGGGUUGGAUUUCUCUCUGUUAAAUAUAGGAAAAAGAAAAUGGGGGAUUCUCUUCACACGUGGCAUAUCGGCCAGGAAUCAAAUUAAGACCUAAUCACGGAGGUAGGAGCUCUAACCUCAUGAUUGAUAUUUUUAUUUUUUUUAAAUUUAUUCACUUUUUGGUAAAUAAAAAUGCUUCAGGCCUAUUUGGAUAAUCCCAUGCAAUCCAACUUCAUGACAAGAUGGACAGGCAAGGCCCAUCUUAAGUUAUUCAUAAAAAAAAUUUCAGAGCAGGCCGGCCCAAAUCCUGUAAAGAAAAAAUAAUCUCAAUAAGUUUUUUUUCCACCCUACACAAAUGGACCGAAAGAGAUCCAAUUGAUAAUAUUAGACAUAAUCGGCGCACAUUAUAUAGUAAAUAUAUGUUGAUAUCUACAAGAUUUUUAACUCAAUUCUAUAGAAAUAUCCAAAUAGACUUUUCUCCGAUCUUCCAUCCUCGUUUUCCCUCCUGGCCAAAGCUAGGUUAGCAGUCCAUAUAACCCAACCUUAUCUCAUUAAGACGGUAGUGGAUUUUUUUUCUUUUUGCUGAUAGGAAUGGCGGAUCUUUUUCACGGGCAGCCGAUUUCGAUCUGUUCGUGAGCAUUGAGAUUCGCGCAUUUGGCCGCUGGAUAUGGCUUGAGAUGCUGGAACAGGAUACAAGCGGUGCUGGUCGAGGUCGUCCGCACCGCCUCCGUCCGACAAGCCGCCGCCUCGAGGCCCGCUGUCGGUCCGUUGACCUCGUGUCCCUGGCAUUCGUACGAUGCCCCGUCAGCAUCAUCAUCACGAGAAGAUUCCCGGCGGGCGUCCCUUCGGACCACGCGUCGAAAGGUCAGAGCAAUAGAGCGAAACGCACGCCAUCUCUUUGGGACCACGCACCCGGGGGACUGUGAACAGGGGAUGCGCAGGACAGCUGUCGGGAAGCAAAACCGACACGGAUGGCAUCCGUAUCUCACGUGCGGACGUGUAAGCCUGAGACGUACGCUUACCGUGGGACGUCGUAAGUGUGACCUGGCGAGUUUGCAGCUUGACAAAUCCUGCAUAGAUUGUGUAAAACUCUGCAUCGAGAGACGCCCUGUUUUGCCUUGAAGAAAAAGUUGGUGGCCUUCAGCCGCCUCCUCAUCCAUUGCAAAUUAUUGGAGGCCUUGUAGUUGUAGGUCUCUGUGUGCGUGUAAGCAUCUCUUAUUGACUUACUUUCUCCUUUUUCAAUCGAAACAACUUAAAAUUUUAAAAAAAAGAGUAAGAAAGAAAGAUUUCAGGGGUAGAUUCAUGAAGAAUCUUUAAAGGUUGAUCUAGAUCGAUGUAGUCACCUUUUGGCUUUUACAAAAGUGGCUUAGCUUCCCCGCCAUUCACUGUGUCGAGAAAAAGUUGGCGGGGGGAAAAGGAUAUCGGUUUGAUCUGCCAUCCACCGUCCAUAUCCGUGUGGUACAGGUAACAUGCAUGUGACUACUAUACCUUUGAGAAUGCUAUGCAUGAUUGGAAGAGAAGGGCAGGCGAACAAUCCAGCACAUGCGUAGAAAGUUGUGCAUACGGCCUUGGAACUAAGCCUUCGCCUAUCACAUUAUGCAUGGCGUCACGCUUUCGUGUCGUUAUGGAUGCGGUUCAUGUCCAAACAAGCAGGAUUUCUUUACAUAGGCAAGGUGGGACCAUGUAUCUGUGCUCCACCCUCUCAUUUUUGCUGUGGGGGAUAAAAUGGCUUGCCAUAUGUUUCUAUCAUUUCUAGGGCACUGUCGGUUAGGGUUUGGGUUGUAUCUUUUGUGCGAAAAAAUGAUUGAUCCUUUUUGCAACACCGACCAUAGGACCGCACCCCGCACAAAUCUCAAACCACUGUGAAGUGAUCGUUGCAUGAUCUAAUGGUGGAUUUGCGUGAAGAAAUGCGAAUCUUUAAUUUCUUUGUGUAUAAGAUACAACCCUUGCCCGAAAGUGAAUCUAAGUAAAAUCAAAAGGCUAGAAAUAUCGCCUUUUUCUUAGUUAGGAACAAUUAAUGCCCUGUAGCAUACAACCUGUGAAAUUAAUCCAUAUUACCAGUCCUAGAGCCACCAUUAGAAACUCUACUUUUAGGGGCCGCUUUAGAAAAUUUCAUAUGGUGGGACCAUAUUACAUUUUGUGUUAAAAAAGAAAUAAAAUCAUUGAAGAUGUCUAAUUAUAGUUGCCGUACAUGGGUGCUUAGACAUUUUAUAAGGAGAAAGAUGGACCGUACUUUUAGUUUUCUUCUAGUAGAAUGCAUGUUAUUUUUCUGAAAAGCAUUAAUGCACAUUUUCUCCGCAUCCUAAGCAAAAUGCUCUUAAAGAUAAUUUAUUUUGAAAUUACUAAUAUUUUUAUGUACUGUCAAAUCCAGCAUCUCAUUCAAAAAGAAUAGUCAAAAGAUAUUAUUUGGAUCCUUGGCUCUAUAUAAAUAUCCAAGGUCUACCCAAUGUAUAGUCAAUAUAGGACUAGAUAUAUAUCUGCACGGAUCUUAACAUACUCCUUCCAUCGAAGCCUUAGCGUGCACCAUUGUGCUAAGAGUCCAAACCCAUUCAACUCUAAUCAUAAAUACCAUAAUCAGUUUGUGGUCUGUCCAAAUGGAUCCAUGCUAUAGGAUUCUCUAGUCCACAUAAGUCAUGGAUCAAAUUCACUCCGAUACCAUUUGUCAUAGACCAGGACCAUAUCCCAAAAGUCUAGAUGGAUGGUAUAAUUUGGGUUUCUUAGCUUUGUAUAAGUAUUCAAGAUCUAUCAUGUGUAUAACCAAUGCGAGAUUAAACAUGUACCUCCACUCGCAUGUACAUGCAAGUUACAAUAGCUUGUCAAUUACCUUGUUCUGAAUUUGAAAAAGGCUAUGAGAAACUGAUAUAUCAGUUCCAUGACAUCCAAUUGCUAUUGUGAACAAGAUUGUGACAGGUGUAGCAAGAUGUCACUUCAUAGCACCAACCAUUUGCGGCUCAUGAAGAAAGAAGAAUGUCUGAGGUUUUCUGUCGACGGGAGGAGAUGAGGGGAUUAUUUAACAACCACAUAUCGUAAACGGAGGUGGCCAAACGUAUGACCCCUUCCAUGGCUUUUAAAGCCUUCAUUAUUGGUAGGGCACCUUAUCCCUAAGGGUCCAUCCCUGACCACAAUCCAUGUCAAGGCCUAUUAGUAGAUGAAACUUGUAAUGGCUUACCAAAUCUUUUGAUCUAUUAUUGUGUUCAAAUGGCAUGCAUUAGGUUAAUUAAUCUCUUAACAUAUACUAAAAAGGAGCAAUCAUUUGGGUUCAUAACAUGUGGUUAACAAAUGCAUGUUCUAUAUUUGACUUGAUUGCGAGAUCAUGUGCUUUCAUAUGGAGAAUAUUGCAGGCGGAAAUUUUAUGAAUUGAAAGGUUUGUUAUGCUCUUGAUUUAUGAGACUUUAUACUUAAUAUAUACUCAUACCUAGGCAUAUUGUUGAAGUCAAGGGAUGCCUCAUGAUACUUGAAUAAGGAGAUACUUGUUUAGAGGUUUUCAAUGUUGUGGAUAUUGGGAAGAAGCAUGGAAAUGAGAUGUCCAGUUCAUGCUUGGUUGUCCUGAUUCCAAGCACAUCCUGGAUGGAAUAUUUGCGCUUGUAAGCCUUCACAAGCAAGAGGAAUUAUAUCUUUAGAAGGCUUCCUCUUCUUCCCCUUCAAAGUUCAUUAUAGCUUUACCAAGUACACCUUGAGAAGUCAUCUCUGGAAAUAACAAUUAGAGCAAAAUAAUGUAGGCAAUUGCACAUGACAUCUACCAAGAAAUUAAAAAGACGAAAACGAUAGAUUAUUAAAAAAAGGGGGUUAUUGUUCCGGUUCUGCCAUCGAAGGAGUUGAUUGGCAAGUUUCCACUGCAUCCGCAGCCUACUGCACUCCGUUAUGUAUACAUCGUCCUACAGAGGUCGAUGAUGUUGCCACUCUUUGCACGAACACUGGCAACAACUUCAAAGAUCUUUUUCAACUUUUAUCAUCUGAGGAAAAUUAUUAGGUGGAUCCGAUUCAUUGUAGAUCUAAAAUGAAAUUAUUUUAUUUUCUUUUUUUUUUGUGUGUGUGUAAUUUAGGCUCACGGUGGACCUGAUCUACCUAAUUAUUUCUCGUCAUCUGGGGCCGUGCAUUUAAGGUCGUGCAGCUUCCACGUUCUCGGUGUACGUUACUAAUGCAAUAAUUAUGCUUAAACAAUGAUAUCAGUAGAUUUAACUCCACUAACUAACUUUCUCAGAAUAUUAUGCUAAAAGUUUUGGGCCCAACUGUGGUAAAACGUCCCUUUCAGUCAGAGGUAAAGAGCUUGCUCUUAAAAAAAUAUCUCUCGAAAAGAUGAAGCACUAUUGCUUACAAGUUUCAAAAGACCGUUCAGUUUGUGGGCCAAUCUCACCAUACAAUUGGCAAAUUCCGAUUUGACCAAUGUGUGUUUCCACGAGCCAAUAAUGAAGAAACCAACGAAACAGGACAGUGAUUUGAAAACCUUUUUUCCUUUUUUAUCGUUCUCUGUCGGUGGCAGUAUCCAAGGUAAAUUUAAAUUCCAGUAAGUUGCCAAGGGUCCUGUCCCUGUAUGGCUUGAAAUACCUGAAAUCUACUAAGAGAGGUCCGUCAAAUAUGUGCACCAUAAUCCUCAUGUAACCAUGAUUUCAUUAUUUUCUAAUCACAAUUUAAGUAGACUAAAAGUUUCAUGAUGUUAAGAACAGGCUUCGGUUCUAAAAAAUGACUGUAGGAUUCUUUAGAAAAACUUCAUUUGGUUCUUUCUUUUAAUUUUUGAUGAAGAGAGAGGUUUUUUUUUUGAUGAAGAGAGAGGCAAAGCUAUCUGGUCUUUAUUAGGAAAAAAAACAAAAAUUAAUUAUAAAAAAUUUGCAUAAAUAAUAAUAAAAAAUUUAUAAAAGAUAGUGGUUUGUAAGUAGACCGAUUAAAUUAUUCAACAAGAUGAACAAUCUUAUAAGUAAUUUGUGAUCUGAAGAAUCUCUAGAUCUUCAAUGUGCAAGUUUGUAAGCUCUGUACCCCGGUCACUCCUCCUCCACACUAUUAACACUAUUAUGUGAAAAAAUCAUUAUUAAAGGGAUAAAAUUGAUUUAUAUGUAUAUGACUGCUAAAAAUCCAUCAGAGCUAUCUCUAGGCCUGCUGCAACUGUGUGUCAUGAGAUUUCACAACAAAGGGGAAGAUGACAUGCAGAAGCAAGGAAAGACUAAUGCUACUUAUACAAUCAUAACCUUAAUAAUAACCAUCUAAAUAAUGCUCAAGUAAGUCAGGAGACGUUCAAAAUUGAGUCAUCAUCAUAUUGAUGCAAAAAUCGUCCAGUCAGCAAGUUGGCUUUGCUAGAUAUGAUCAGAAAAUAGAGGAGGAUUGAGAACAUAUGUAGAUCCCUUACCAUUGUGUUAACUCAGUCAGCAAGUUAAUUCCAAACACAUGAAUCAAUGAUGCAAAAAACUAAGUAAGAUCAUAAAUUUAACCGAGAUAGCUACAAAAUCUCUAGCAGACAGACAGCUGACAUAGUUUGGGGUGGUGAGAAGGAUAUCAACAAUACUGUAAAUGGUGAUAUUGUUUGUAUCAGAUGGUGAUGACAAUUCGGUUGCGGUAAACAUCAUGGAGAUUCGAUGACAAAGUCAGUGAGAAUACUGAAUUUUUGGGAGGGAUUAAUGAACUUGCUGGAAAGUCCGUGAACCUUGAAUGGUCCCUCAAAGUGAUUGAUUCACUUGGUAUAUGUAAUGCCAACCAGUCAAUUACCACCGAGCUGUGCUCAAACUCAUACUCGUCUUAAUCAAAGAGAUGUUGAGGACAACCAUUCUUAGGAACCUGAGCAAGAACCAUGCAAUCAUGAUGGUCGCCGCAUGUUACGCUCCAGGGCAGUUUGUGAGAGGCUAGAUGCAUGAAAGCCAUGCUAGCUUCCCUUUUGCAUAAUGAGUCAACCCAGCCCAGCCGACACUUUUUAACGGAUUUGCCGAUGCAGAAAAGUGUUGCGAGUUUGAUUCCCGACGCUUUCUAAAACGUUGCAAAAGCGUCAGCAAUGCUACCAUGGAAUUUUAUGACGCUUUUGGUUUGCAUCGUGAGUUAUAACAAAUGAUGCUUAUAAAAGUUAUUAAUCGCCGAUGCUUCUACACAGCGUCGUAUAUUAGCUACAAUCACCCCCUAAGCUGGGAUCAAAUCAUUGAUGGGUUCUUCUCUACAUGAUGAUUUGCUAAUGUGAGUACUAAUUAGCAUGCUAUCAAGCUGAUGAAUAUAGUUUCCGUGCUAAUUCUCCACAUAGUUGCGGAGAGAAAGAGAGAGAGAGAGAGAUAUUUCAUUGGCCUCCCACCAAAGGUUAGCUUACAUUUUGACCAAGUCAACAGAUCUGUGAUAUAGUCAAAACCAUUCUGGUCGACAAGACUUAGUCCUACUGGUUGGUAUCCUCUCCAAGAGCAUAUUAUUAUCAUUGUAUUUCUUAAACAAUACAAAUAUGCGCACAGGCCAUCAGGCUUGACUCUGACAAUUGUUUGGAUAGGUUUGGGAAUCUUUGGCUCCUACUAUUAAACUUAGUUGCCUGUUUGGUAUGUAAGUUUGGCUCAGUAUUCAUCAAUCUGAACUUGAGCCUAGAAGGAAGACCUGGGUUAUAAUAGAGCCGACCUCAAGCUUUGCUUAAUUAAAAUUUCCCCCUCUGACUAGGCCUAUCUCAAGUGAAGGAUGUCCCAUUAGUGAAAUUACCAUUAUAUAUUUAUAUGCUUUCUUUUUGGUAAGCAUAUAUUUGUAUGUUUGAAAGUUUUACAAUAUACAAAAGCAACAUGGGCAUUUUAGUCUUUUUAAUCAAAUGCUGGGUGGACCUUAUCCUGUGUUCCUACUAUUCAUACUAGGUUUGUAUGAUCCGUCCAUUUUUAAAUAAUAAAAAAAUAUAGCUCCCUUAUAAUUUUAGUCCUUUGAAGGACUUUUCUAUAAUUCUUAAAAACAAAAGAUUUUUCCUAAGCCUAGGAUAAAACUUAAGGGCAACGAAGAUGGUGGUGAUGAACGAGACAAGCUGCAUCCUCAAAAGGGCUUUGGCUCUGUAACCUUCCCCACACCUUAUCACCCACACCACGUCGAAAGCAUCCAAAUUUCUCUUCAUCUCAUGUGCUUUUUAGUUUAGCUUCUCUUUUAUUGGCCUUUUUUUUUCUCCCUUUCUUUUUAUGUUAUAAUUUUGAUGUUAAUGUAACAUAUUUGAUUUUAUUUAAUUUUAGCUCUCCCACCCUCACUAUUUGCAGUUGUAAUGUCAUGUUAGUGUAGCACCAAAAGUUAUUAAAAAUUAUAUUUAUUUUUAGUUUUUUAUAAUUUAUUUAUUUAUAAUUUUAAUCUAUUUCUAUAUAAAAUAAUUAAUAAUUAAUAUAUUUAUUAUGUCAUUUUGAUAUCACAGUGAAACUCGGGUUGACUAGACUGACGGUUGAGCCGUUGGCCCAGUUCCUGUUCUGGUUCAAUCAACAGCCCACUUUUUACAACAUUGCGCUCGUACCCUGGUGCGAUGCAUCGUCACUGUGGACCGCACGAUCGACACCCGGGGCGGGGCCCAAACUUUUCCAAACCGUCUAAUGGGCAAAUCCCUCUACAGGGAUCAAAACCUCCUACCCGAACCGUUCGUUCAGGGGGUCCCACUUUUGUACCCCCUGAUAGUGAGCUUUGAGGGGCCGUGGAUCCAUCAGCUUCAUGGGUGUCCAUCUGGGCCUAAUCAAUAUGGGCCAUUCAGCUUCAUGGGUAUGAAUGGUGGUGGAUCCAUCACUUCGGUCGGCAGCCUGUGAUUGAUGUGAAUUGGUGGCUGUGAUCACUAGAAUGUUUUUUUUUUGUACAUCCGCUGCUUACACUAAUCUCACAUGAGCACAACUAACUGAAUCCAUAGAAAGAAAACUACUACACAGUGGUGGAGAGACAGAAGCGCAUCGAAUCUAAAAGAUUUCUCUAGAAUAUUGGGCAUUAAAUGAGGCGACUCAAUCAUCAACUCUGUUAGCCUUCCAAAAUACAUGCACAAUUCGAAAAGCACAACACUUGUUCAGCAUCAGCCGGAUAUUGCCUAGAAGUAGAUAUAAUUUAUCAGCAUAAUUUUACAAAUAUACAUCACAUCUGAUUGGAUACAAAUUUAUUCAAUUUUUAAAUUAAUUGUUUGGUUUAUGCAGUAAUUGGUUCAGGCCAUGACAGCUAUACGAUAGAAUGCUAUUUUAACAUCUUCUACUAAUUUAAAAUUGGUUUAUGGGGGGUUUAUGGGAUUUUUUUAUUCCGGGAAUAUUUGAUCUCUUGUAAUAUUGGACUUUAAUAUGGAAAAUUUUGUCAAGGAUUUUGGACAGCUGAUGGUUGUGGGGGCCCGCAACAAAGCUGGAAACAGCGAGGAUAUGGAGCGCUAAAAGCUAUUAAAGAAAUGGCUUUUCCGAAGAAGGGGCCCAAGGGAAUAGAAAUCACACAAAAAGAUGGUCAGGAUCAGCAUUAUAAUAUGCUUGUUGUCAAAAAAAUUUCCACCCCCUUUGUCUAAUUCGGAAUUACUUUUUGGGUCACAUGAACCCAACCAUGGCACUGUGCGUAUCUUAAUCAUUGAUGACAAAUGAAAUUAACUAUAAAGAUACUUUGUAGAUCUUGGGUUAUUUUAAUCCCCAUGCAUCGCAUCCAUGCCCAUUUGAUGAUUUUGGUAGAUAUUGGUGUCAGUUUUAAAACAUAAAAUAAAAUAAAAUCCAAAUAAUUUCAUCGAAUAUGGGGAUAGCUGAAGGGCUUAGCAACAAGAGGAAUAAAGCUGGCUAGUGCUAUAGUGGAAAUAACUAGAAAACUUUCCGAGCAAAUUAACUAGAAAGCUUUAGUUGAUGAAAAUUAGUCGGAAAUCAUUACUAUGAUUUUUCAGCUUUUCUUGUAAUUCUACGUACGAAAGCUUAAAAUCUUGAGAAGAAACCUAAAACCGAAUCAUAAGAUACGGAGUUAUACGACACUUAAAAUAAAUUACUUCAUACGAGCACACACAAUGUUUCAUUUCUCCUCGACGAGAAAAUUUUUCUAUUCUUGCCGUUACUUGUUUGAAGUGCAAUGCUUUAGGAAAAGGCAAAAAAAAUCAUUUUCAUCCGUACUAGAAUGAUAUGAAAGCUAAAACACCGAGGAAUGCGCGCUAAAAAGUCAUUUUCACUAGUCCCCUUCUCAUUCUAAUUUCAGAAAAGAAAUAGAAAUGCCCCGAUGCUUCAAAAUCUAAUCUCAAGUCUCCUCCAAUUCAAGUGUAUCGAGAUCAUUCUGAUUUCUAUUUUAAUUCAUUCCGAUUUGGAUUCCGAUUUCGCACCAAAAAUAUUCUAGUUCCAUUAAUGAUUAUGUACGUUAAAUGCUUUGUUGCUUAAUUCUUCCCUCUUUUUGGUAGAAAACUGCUUGAUGCUUUAAGUAGUCCUGUUCUGAGUUACAGACUUGUUCCGCAGCUACAUACGUUCACUUUCUUCAGAGAGAAGGCAUGAUACAGUGGUCCAUGCUCUCCAAUUGCUAAAUACCAAGUUCUUCAGGCAGUUUCCAAGAGAAACAACGUGUCUUUUUGGAAUAGAGGAAGAAACCCGCUGCUGUAAAAGAUGUAUGGAAGUAUUUUGUUCUUUCCAACCAAUGAUGAGCCUUUCCGAAUUGAUCAUGGGUUUAGGGAUCUGCCCAAAAAGCAAUGGCGGUCCUGUUCUCUGACACAAGAAUAUCUAGGGAACUCAAAUGGGUACCAGAGUUUCCUUCGGACCUUCCCUUGCGGACAGGAUACUACUGCUGUAUUUGCAAACGUUAUUGUGAACUUAAACUAGAUCCAUUCCUGAUUCAUUUUUUAAAAUUUCUGGUCAUCUCUAUACUGAAUUGAAUUGCUUCAGAAAAAAAAAUGUUGCUUUUACUUGCAUUAACGCUCAAGUCAUUGGGACCAAAUCCUCUUUAGGCUUCUUCAUUAAUCUAUGAGAGCAGAUGCCCCACAACCACUGUAGGUGCAAACAUUUAUUACAGUGCUUGAUGAGACAUACAUUUUAGAUGAUCAAUCCCCAUAUCCCCACCUUAAAAAGUAGUAGUAAAAAAUGAGGGCAAAGAAAUUUAAAAAAAAGGAAAAAACCUUAAAGACAAUCACACCCACUUGAUUGUGACCUCUCUCUCCCCCUCUCUCUGGCUCAGCCUUCUCCUCUUAAUUCAAUUCCUCCUCUCUAUUGCCACUUCAUUAUCUCGGCCUCCACACAAUCUCUUUCCCAUACAGCACCCAGCACCUCUCAGAAAUCAAAACCCAGUCCUGAUACACACAAACUACCUCCUCGAGCUGAUAGUUCGGAGGGAUCCAAUACCAAGCUCUCUGCUGCUGUGAAGGCCUCGGUGGCAUUGCGCUUGUGUCUGGCUCGAAAUGGGAAGACAUUCCUGCUGCUACAAGCAGAAGCUAAGGAAAGGCCUCUGGUCCCCAGAGGAGGAUGAGAAGCUCCUCAAGCACAUCACUAAGUAUGGCCAUGGCUGCUGGAGCUCUGUGCCCAAGCUAGCAGGUAACUCAACCUCUUUGGCCCAUCAAAUCCGAAAACAAGAAAUGCAUCACAAAAACAUAAUGAAUACAGACCGCUCUCUGAAUUCUAAGAGAGAAUUAUGCUUCUCAGGUCUUCAAAGGUGUGGAAAGAGCUGCAGAUUGAGGUGGAUAAACUAUCUGAGGCCUGAUCUCAAGAGAGGCUCAUUCUCACAGCAGGAGGAGGACCUCAUCAUCGAACUCCAUGCAGUCCUUGGCAACAGGUACCGAUUGCUGCAUCUCCUAGAAUUCGAUCUAUAGGGGGCUCAUGCGUAUAUCUUUCCUCCCUUUCAGAUGGUCUCAAAUUGCAGCGCAGCUGCCGGGGAGAACGGACAACGAGAUCAAGAACCUGUGGAACUCCUGCAUCAAGAAGAAGCUGAGGCAGAGAGGCAUCGAUCCCAACACCCACAAGCCGCUUUCCGAGACCGAAGGCGGAGAAGAUAAGGUCCCGGCGAACGAGGACAAGACUGCCGGAUCCAGCGAGCUGAAGCUCCUUGCCCCUCCCUCCGGGAACUUGAACUCGGUAGUUCCUGAGCUUGCUCCUCCAUUGAUGUCGAUGGUGGACGGGUCGAACUCGGAGAAUUUGGUAGCAUCCACAAAAGAUUUCUUUCUAUACCGGUUCGCCGCAGGCCAUGAGAGCUCCUCCGGCUGCCAACCCACCAAUUCGAUGGACUACUUGCCCCCCCGGAAUUCAGUUUACAGUCCCAGCUCAUCGAUGGACCAAAAUCCGCCUCUCUGGUUCAACCAGAACGCCAGGCUGCUCGACAUGAAUCCCGAGUUGACUUGCAACAUGAUGAUGUCUGCUGCUCUUCCGUCGGUCUCGAGGUCAACUGUCUCGACCUCCAUGGGUCUAAAGCCCACAGCUCGCAUGGCAGCAGACAACUCUCUCCCCGGAUUCCACUGCUUGGAGGCCGGCAACUCCAGCAACAACAGCGCAAGCAGCGGGAACAGUGGUGGCGGAAUCGAGCCGCAGAGCAACAAUUCUAUCUAUGAAAGCAGCAUCUUCCAAUGGCCGGAGUUGGUGCCGAACAGACAAGCUGAAAUCCAACUCGGAGGUGAACCAGAGGACCUCAAAUGGUCUGAGUACCUUAACGGCACCAUCCCUUUGUCCGCGGAUAUCCAAAACCAAACUCAACUUCUCAAUGGAGCUGUCAAGGAAGAGAACCAAUUUCCGAUUGAUGGGUUGAGUUCAUGGCUGCAACCUCCUGAAUUAUUCGGUAAGGACUUCCAGAGAAUUUCCACGGUUUUCAAACAAAUUUAAAUUACGAGUACACGUAACAGUCCUUGUGGAGCCUCCGAUUCACAUACAGAAGGAGUCCUUUUCACAGAGUUUCAACUUAGAAAGGCUGCUUCUAAUAGUAACUUUACAAUGCGCGCACCAUAAAAUUUUUCUCAUGUAAAUAGGCCUCAUGAUACGAAAACCUUUAGUCUUUGUUGAUCUUUGGAUAGUCGUGGGAAGAAGUGCAGAAUAAAGCCUGUUUCAGUGUAUGUUUGUUUUUGUUUUUCAUCUAAUUUCAUUAUUUUGGAACUCACAUAUUGCUAUUAUCUCAUGUAAACAAUCGUAUCUCUGCUUUGGUUUACUCCACUCUUAUUCCAUUCUCUUUUCUUACCAUUAAUGGCAUCAUUUUCAAUGAAAAAAUAUACAGUAUUUCCUAUCAAAAGCUCUCGAAGAACUCAUUAGAACUUGUGAGAACUCGUACGGACAUAUGUUUAGUUCUACAUCGAUUAUUUACUGGAUAGAUCUUGAGUACUUAUAUAGGAUUAAGAAACCCAAAUAAUAUCUUCUGACUAUUUUUUUUUGGAUGAGGUCCUGAGUUGUUACAGAAGUCAACAUAAGUUGCCAUGAAUACUAAUGCACACUGUCUGUUUUUGGGCAUGAGUUGUAGCUGUCCGCGUCUAGUUUACUCAUCUGAUAGCUACUCAGAUGGUCUCAAAUUCAAUUGGAAGGCUUUAGAAGCAGCAAACAGAGAUCGGUUGGUUCUGUAUUGCCAAGCAAGGCAGCACACUUCUCACAGGAGAAAAGAAAGCAAAUCUCCUGAAAGAAAACAAGGAUUUAUUCAAUUCACCUACUAAUCAAAGGCUAAUGACUCUCAGCCUCCUAUUAAACAUGAUGGUUCCCCCUAUCUCUAGGCAAUAUAUUAAGAUCCACAUUGGUCUAGAAAGAUUUCUCCUAUUCAACUUUUUUUUUCCCUUUGCAGAAGAUAAAACCUUUUCAUUAGAACAUUAUUUUCUGUGUGCGCGUAUCUUGGUUCGGUUGCUGAGGGAAAGAGUGGAGAGGCAUGAUAGAAAUUGAUGUGUUUUCCACUUGCAUGAUCGAUGCUUGGGAAAAGCAAAAGAAGAAAAUUAUUUAAAUAACAGAGGAGAGAGGGGUCGAUUUCCAUCAUCUUUACCUCUCAAGGUUCAUUUCAAAUUUCAUAUCCUUCCUUUUGUUUUCCCCCCCUCCUAUACAAGCAGAAGUGUCAUCACCAGCUAAAACUUUCUUGACGAGGUAGGAUUGACAGGGAUGGGACACCAUCACACGCUAAUGUGCGUUAAUCAAUUGAACGAGACACCCAUUCAUUAAAUGGAAAUUUAAAACAUGAACUUCAGAAAUAACAGAUGAAGUAAUGAUAAAAUAUUUGAUGAUGGCAUGGUAAAGAAGAAAAAGUGAACAUCGAGCGAGCACAACCAUGGUGGGGACAUGCUAUAUGGAACAGCUAUGGCUGCUUUGCUGUAUAAACAGGUUUCUUCAGCUCAUUUAAUUUAUGCUGGUCUUCUUGUCUAUUCCAAUGCAUGCGAACCAUGUUGGUAGAUUCUUUUUGUUAAGCGACAAAAAAACAGUAGACCAAAAGAAUCUAAAUACAACGAACCAUUUGAUUUGAAUUGGAAACAGGAUAAGAACAUCUAAGAAAGUUCAGUGCAAGCCUCUUUCAAGGGGAUGAGGCAAGCCUAAAGGACGCUACCAGUUUGACUGCAAAGUACCCGCAGGCACAGGUGAAACAUGAGCGGAUUGUUUAUGCAGCACUGGCUGCAUAACUGCAUGAAGGCCACGAGAGCUCAAAGAAAAGGUUAUCCUACUGAACAGAAUAUGGAUGAGAGAUGAAAAUUCAGUAGGUUUCCUGAGCUGAAUUUAGCUUGGCAUAACUUUAUCUGAUAGCUUAUUUGUGAUAUUGAAGAAUACUGAAACCGGAAAUUACAGGCACUGCUACCUUCAUCCAUUGAAAUUCUUGGAAGCACAGGUCGAAGUAGAAUUGCCAUCCAAUGAGCUAUCAUUAGGCACAAACUCAAGCAGGGGAGGCAAAAGAAACAUGCAGAUGUUAAUGUCAUGCUAAGUUGCGAACCCAAGUUACUCAAUUCAUCUUUUUCGGCACAAACUGGCACAAGACAGACAACUGGCUUACGAUGGAAAAUGGUAACAAGGGCCCUCCCUGGGAAUCAAAGAUAGAUCAUAGAAAAUUAAAAAACCAUAUGUAUCAUACUCAGGUCUACAUGUUUUAUUCCCUCAUCUGCUAAUUGUUUUUAAGGAGAAGAAAAGGACACUCGUAAACAUACUCUGAUAUUCAUAUAAAUGGAAGAAGGCAAAAGAUGAAAAGCUCUAAUUAACGUCAAGUAGAAGCAGGUCAUACUAAGAGGCCCUCCUUGUUUGGCAGAUUAAGUGGCCAUAAUCUAAUAUGAGUGGGGGAGAUUCAAUACAAGCAUCAAGCAAGGACCACCCCAGGGAGAAUGACAUCAUAUUAUUAGGAGAAAUUGAGAAACUCAGAUGGGCCUCUGGGAGUAAAUCUGUACACCUCUUGUGUUGUGGCUCUGUUGCCACUAAGCUCUGUCUCCCUGUUACAAGUUUAUUGAAUCUUUCACCUGAGAAAGUAAAAAUAAAAAUAUUGAAUUAUGGCCUCUAAUUCAUAAAUUGGCUAUACCUUUCUCUGAUAUGAGAGUAAUUUUACGACAAACAGGUACAAAGAUAGGACAUCCCGCAACAAGAACACUUGGCGAAAAACAGUGGCAGGACAACAGUCACCAAAUAACAAGGAUUAUAUUUAGGAAAUUGAAGUCAGGCAGAUUACCUUUGGACUGAGACGCAUUUGUUUCUUAUUAACUUCUCCCUAAAAAUAUUUCAGCCCAUUUUUCGUUGCAAACAUAGUUCUCUAUUUCAGUUAAUAGACGUGCUGCUGGGGUGAUGCGCCACCAAUAGCAUCAGAAAUUGACAAUAUAAAUCCUAACACUAUAUAAAAGCAGCUAUCUUUCCCAAGUUUCCAAUUCCCAUAAUAACCUUCAUUAGAUUUCUUCUUAGAUGCCUGAAACAUGCUAAACUUAUAUGGGGAAGGAUCCUAAGAUUGCUGGUCUCAUAAGUAGACAUAAAGAAGUCCAAAAGAGAGUUGUCGAAGAGAAAAAUUCCCUUUUGAGUUGCGAUUUUCAUGAUUCAAUGCAUAAGAAGAGUCCUACAUCCUCAAAAUUGCAGAUUAAUAGUCAUUUCUGGGUUAUAGCAAAACAAAAGCUAAUCUACAUGAGGAACGUAGUAUACCAAAUAAAUCUUAAACAAUUUCAUAAUGAAAGCAAAUUGGCAGUCAGUUCAUGCAUCUUUAAAAUAUAUCAUAUAGUUGCAAUCAUUAGUUGUUGCAACGUGCAUCAACAUGUGCAUUAUAACUAGUAUACUCCUAAGCAUAUCAUAUUAUUCCUUGCUUUAAUGUUUGAAAGGAAGCAUUGAAAAAAUUAAGGGAUGAUUUUGCAUGCAUACAGAAACUUCUAGGGAAAGCUGGGACCAGGAUAAACUUUUCUGAGCAAUGGUAAUGGGGCAAACUUACUUGCCAGAAAUUUUCUUGUCUUCCUCAUAUAUCUUACCAUGAUUCUUUAUGAUUUUCCUGAUUGAUCACUCCAUAGAGUGAGAAUAGUAAAACUGCCAAGAUGCUCAAAUACAUUCACCUUGAUCAAACUUAAAUGGUUAUCAAGAAGGAAAACAACAAAAUCUUUCUUACAACUACCAGAAUUCUAUAACCUUUCCUCUUUGAAUAUAAUCAGGAAAGAAUAUAUGUUGGACAGUGGAAGAGCCAGCAUGUCACUUGCACAAGCAGAAUUCUGUUUUUGCUUCUGCUUUGUUAUUCUUUGACCUUAUUAUGAAUAUGCAGCUACAACAAAUUACAAUCGGAAAAAUAUUUUGAUAAUAAUUGAAUAAAUCUUAACGAGAUACAAGAUUAUGGCAUGUCUUGUCGCAAGGAUAUGGGCAGUCUAUUUCCCUGACUUGAGCUCGAUCAAAGUACCAGUCACCAACAGACUUUGCAAUCCCCUGCACAUGAACAGCCAAUGUAAAGAUAAUGGGUGAGAUGAGGAAACAUCUGUGAAACGGAAAUGGAGAAAGAAUUCUGGUUUCAUAGACCAAGUAGCUAAGAACAUGCUGAUGUAGAAGGCUAAACAGCAAACAUUCCCAUCUCAAUUACUUUUUCACAAAAUCAAGAGACUCUAGAUAUAAAAUAUAAAAAUUUGUAUCUGAAAGCAACAGAUAUAGCAGCAAUCACAUCUCAGUCUUUCCCAAGCAAGCAUUCAUUGCUGUACACAUCUGCUUCUGUUUAAUUUCUACGUGUUUAAAAUGCUGAUUUGAUCAUUCUGAGUAAAAGAUCUAGGAAUUUUGGAAUUUCAGCUCCUCUAUUUUUUGGCAUGUCCUUAAAAAGAAGAAAUGAAGAGUUAUAAGACAUUAAUGCAGUGCAGAGGGAGGAACAACCCCAGGGCUGCCCAAAGGGGCAAAGGAAAGACCAAUGCCUAAAGUUUAAGCCAGAUUAUGAAACCACAUUUCAAAAUCGACACUGACUCCUCCGAUUGACAACGAAAGAACAAUCUCUUUCUUUUUAAUUCCUUUCCUCCUUGGUGAGACAAGGAAUUUCUUGUUUUUCGCUAGUGGAAUGGGAAAAAAAGGAUCAAAAAAGGGGAAGGUUGCACUACUUUUUUGGCUACCAAAAACUAAGCACCUUACGAUACAUCAACCGAGAUCUCUAAUUUCAAUCUGUGUCAGCAUAGCUUUGAAUAGUCACAGAAGAUAUUAGCAUUUAACUAGUCUCCCCUUUAAGAUGAGAAUCUACCUCAUUUCUUUGGGUUGUUCGUAUGUCGACUAAUUUUUGGAUCUUUCUAAGAAACUAAGGGGAAGAAAAAAAUCUAUUAGAUAAUCGUACAGCAUCAGCCUUGACACUCAGACAUUGCCAUGGAUAAGCAGGACAAGGACAAUCCCAUGAAUUGAAAUUUGUUUCGGAUUCUUCUAACCAUAUUUAAGACGAGCAUCACUUUUGUUACGCAUUUUUACUAUCGGACUACUAUACUAGUCCAAAUAUGAUUAAUAUUUUCUUAUUAGUCUUGGUACUCUUUAUUUAUUAGGCACAUUGUUAGGCUUAGGGUCUACCGACCGGGCCGAAUCACCCAGUUCAGGCAGUACCGAGCCGACCUGGUGCAAAAUCGGAUCGGUUCGGCAAUUCUAUUCGGUUCUAGCUGGAGCGGCUAUUGAGCCAGCUGAAACGGGUCAGUUCGGUACCAACUCGGUGCAAACCAGCCGGUUCGUACCAAGUCAACCCGGUUUCGAACCGGAUUGGGCAUGAAAUUAUUGCCACUACCACCUGAUGCCUUCUACAUUGAGAAGGCCCAAGAAGGCCUUCCCAAUGCACCCAAAAAAUACACAAACAACACUAAUUCAGGCUAUUAAAAAAAAGAUCCUGGGCUAAAUAAGGUGUGCUUCCUCUUUUCUAUCUCCUUUUUUUCUUUUUUUUUUAUGGAAGGCUUGAAAAAAUAGCUCAAAAAUUACAAAAUAAGAGAAGAUCAUGCCAAAAAUUUUGAUUUGGGCUUGAAUUUUUUUGUAUGUUGUAGAUCUAUGGAUGAUGUACACGCUAGCAUAAAAAAUUUUAAUAUUUAAAUUAUAUAUAAUUUUUAAAAUUAAAAAUAUAAUUUUAGAUUAAAAAGGAUAAUUUUUUCAAAAUAAAUAAAAAAUAAAAAAUGUAAAAAAAAUAGAAACGUAUUUGAAGGCAAGAACUUUUAAGAAAAAGGCUUCCCUAAAUUUUCGUGGCAUCCGGAUCGGGAUACCCCGGCACGAAGACCGGCCCCUCUUUUCGGUGAUGACUUGCCGCGGGAAAACUACUCUCCAUAAAAAUUUGGUGUCCAUUUAUUCAAGUUUUGAUGUGAUCAUGCGCACAGUAGCCUAAGCCUAAAUUUGAAAAAAAAAUGAGAAAGAAGUAGCCUUUGAUGCAUGCCCGAAGGCCCAAAAAAAAUAUAUGUAGCAUUCAUUGUUGGGUUCUAUAUGAAUCUGAGCUGAAAUUAAUUUUUUUAAAUAUUAAUAUUUAAAAAUUAUUUUUAAAUUCGAAAAUAAUAUAAUAUAAAAAUUAUACCAAAAAUUAGAAAAAAUUAGUAGUUCGUAUUACAUAAUUCAGAAGUAAUUUCUGAGGUAUAAAUCAAUUUUUUGAACUUUAUGAUAUUUAAACAUAUUUUUAAAUUUAAAGAUUAUUUAAAAUAUACAAAUAAAUAAAAAAUUAGGAUUAUGUAUUAGAUAAAUCCGAUGUAUUUUUUAAGAUAAAAAAAUUAUCUUCAUCAUAAAUUAAUUUUUUAUUUUUAAAUAAUUGAUAAACUAACGUACUUGAUAACCUGGAAUGGAGCCAUCAAGAAAAGAGGAGUUCAAAAAAUCAUAGGUAAAUGCUCUCGAGCCGACACUAUUGAAUGUGCAACUGAUACAACAUAGAGUUCAAGGAAGGAAGGUUAACCAGAUUGAAGCAGUAUUUAAUUGGUGGUUACCCUGAUAUAUCUAUAUGCUGGAAAUGCCCACAAGAGGUUUAACAGUUGAUGAAGAAGCACUUCACUAAUUUCAGAGCAGCAAAGAAGAGAGUUGCUACGAAGAAAAUGGAGAUAGACCGUCGAGCGGCAGAGCUAGGGCUGGCCCAAGCCUUAGAUGAUCGAGGUGGUCGCCUAAGGCCUCGGCCCAAAGGAAGGCCUCCGGGAGAGUUGCUCCAGCGUAGGUUCGUAACUCUGCCUAACCCUACGAACCAAGCAUCCAGGCAUCCAGGCGUGGCACCGUGGCCAACGGGGUUACGGCUUACGGCCUACGGGACAAGACGUCUUAGCCGUCCCCCAUCCAUAGAUCGUCUUCUUAGUUCUCCAGCGUGGCCCGUCUUCUCCAUCCGACCAUCCGCCGUAGUCACCAGAUCCAGAAUCCCAUAUAAUCAGAGUCCAAGGCCCUCUAAAGUUCUAAACUCUUCAUCUCUUCUUCUUCGGUUCUUGAAUAACUGAGUUCCUUCCUGAUCCUCGGUUCCUAAGUUCCUCCAUCCUCGGUAGUCGGUCCUCCUUAGUUCUUCCGGGUUCCGACUUCCGUCCGUCGCCGGUUCGCCCGUUCGCCGUCCUUGGUUCUCAUAGUCUCACUUCGCCCGUUCGCCACUGGCCCACUCGCCAUCAUCCUCAUCGGGCCGGCACUCUGCACUCGGCCGAAGAAAGUGACGAGGGAUCAGGGAGGCGACGUCGCCGGCAUCUCUUCUCCAGUUCUCCUUCUCGGUCCUCCGCCCUCUCCAGGUGAGCUUCCGACUUCCGGUUUCCUUUUUUUUUUUGACUUCAGUCUUCCAACCAAGGGGUAAGGGGCAAGGGGCAAGGGUCCGGGCCCCUGGGGACUCCGGAAUCUAGUAGUUUUAUUUAUUUUUUUUGCUGCCGAGAAGCGGAGAAGGAUUUUUUUUUAUAUAUAUAUAAGUUUUGGAGGAAGGGGAUUUCUUUAUCAGUUUAUUGGGUAACUCCUAGGCUAGUUCUGCAAAAUGGUGCAUUCAGGGUUCACAAAAGAGUCAGAUUCAUACACGGAAUAGGCACAAGCCAGGCCUAAUCCUACAACUCGACCUGCUUUAGGAUAGGGCAAAAUUUUUUAUCUAUGUAUCUGGAAAUUGAUUUGGAUUAUUUGACUCAACAACACAAAGAAGACCACCUCUAAUUCUCAAGGGCUGGAGUAUUUUGUUAUAUACUACUCAGUUUUCGAAGACUUUUAUCGAAAUAGAAUUGCCAGUUGGCCCAGUUCAACCUACUACAGUGCUGCUUAAACCUCUUGGUAGAUAUUAUUAGAGGCUUUGAUUUGAAUCCUAGCUGAGAAGUAUGUACUUGAGUUUUUGAUCCUAUCUGCCGACAGACUUGGAUUUUGAUUAAGCAAAUUGCUUGCCAAUUGAACAUUUCUCUUGUUUAAGAAACAAAUUAACUAUCUUCAUUUUGGAUUCAAAUAAAGAUGAUGGUGGGAUUUAAAUGAAUUUUUAAAGUAUUUUACACUUAUUAAUUUUUUUUAUUUUUUUUAAAAAGGCCUCCUUUAGUGAGUCCGCCUUAGGCCUCCAAAUACAUUGGGCUACCCCUAGACAGAACCACCUUUCUAUUACUCCAAAGAGUCAGAGGAGGCAUCCGCUCUAGAUGACAAGGAGGCAAGAUCCAGGCUAACAUGCCAGCGAGCCAGAUGAUCAGUGGCAGUAGGAUGAGGUGGCCAGGUAUAGGGCUCAAUUUGGGCCCUUGUAUUACGAGUCGGGCUCCGGUUCUACAAGCAGCAGGCUAGAUCUAGAGUUCAGAAGGACCACCUCAGUCAGGAAGGCCAUCAACAGAGGCGGUGGCCGGAUUGCAUGUAUGUUGGAGACUUUCGGUAGUAGAAAAAAGUCAUCCAAAGAUAUUCCACCGGCAGCAGCAAUCCAUGAUUUAGAUCCACAUGCUUUUUCUAACAUAGAUUUGAAGCUAUUGAAUCCUAGUUCCACUUUAGCCACAUUCCAGUGAAUGUGGCAGACAAUACGUACUACAACGCUGCUUGGUUAGAGGGGUGGGUUAAUAUAAAUCCUACCUAUACUGAUGAUUCGGAUAUCUACGAGAGGCAUCACUACUCGAUCCGAUUUUAGAUAUCGAUUGUAUGUUGAACUUUAAAUGUAUGUAACUGAUUGUAUUAUUUUUAAUUUUUACAUUACUACUUGAUUAGAGGAUAUUUUAUAUUGUUCAUUUUAUAAUUUGUACCAAUUUAAAGUAAUAAGAUGCAUCAUAUAGGUUAAACUAGGAUCAUAGAAACAUCAAAAAAUAUAAAAAAAAUCAAAUUAGACUUAAAUUUAUUGAAAAAGAUCAAAAAGAAUGAUUACCAAUUAAUUUUUUUUGAGAACUCAAAAAAAAAGGUGAACAGUACUGGGCGUCGACCGGUACGGGUUCCGGUACCGGUUCGGCGUACCUUGGUUAGGCUAUAUAUUGAUGUGCAUAUUGGUGACUAUAUACAAUAUACAGAGAUUUCAUCUUCUACCUUUGUGCUAAUAUGGUAUCAGAGCAAUCUAACACUGAACACUAAAUAGUAGGUACCUAUCAAGAAAAACCUAGUUAUGAAGUUACAGCCACUUUAAAUUCUGAUGUUGAAAAUCUUUUGCAAAGGAUUUAGGUAUUCUAGGAAAAGAGCCCACUCAACAUGACCAAUAAAAGAAAAAAAUGAGAAAAUCUGUAUAUGGUUGAACUUAUUACUCCAUCUCCUACUCAGUAGAUAGUAUCAUAGGCUACCAUGAAAUUUAUCUCUAACACCGAAAAUAAGGAGAUAGUUCGAAAACAAGGAGAUAGUUAGCAUGUUUAAUUUUUUCAAAUCUUUAUCAAAUGCAUGGAAAUAAUUUUUAACAUUUUAGCAUUUUACUAUAUAACUAAUUUAUCUCUAACCAGAAAUGAAUACCAAAUAUGGCCGUACCUUGUCUUGGAUAGUUGGAGAGUUAUCUCCAUACCAUGUAUCCUGUUUCUCUGAUUGGCAAUGAGCAAAACAUGAAUUAAUAAAUAGUCCAUUUUGCUUGGAAUUUGAGAACCCUUUUGUGGCGUCAAGCAUUUGGUUCCUGAAUCCUGAACAACAACAUGUAUGGAUUACAUGUUAGAACGGAACAUUCCAGAUUAAACCAAGCAGUGACAAAGAACCCAAAUAGGUACCUUGCAGAAACUUUAUUUGAUCAUCAUUGCACUUCAAAUAAUUAUAUUUGCAUGCUUGCCAAUGACCUUUAGGAUCAGCAUUCUUGGUGGCUAAACUUUGUCGAACCUGAUGACGUAAUGAAGGUGGAAAAACAACUUGAUAGAAUGGAAGCAAACAAUUUCUCAAAACAAAAAGAAAGAAAAAAUAAUGGAAGCAGUCAAUCUAGCUAUUCCUAUAUUUUCGUAAGUCCAUAUUGAUAAAUCCAAAAGAAAAUUUAAUUUAAUAGAGCCCCACUAGGAAUUGCAGUCAAAACAAAAUCUGCCAUUGGUCUGUGAAACAACUUGCUAUAAAAAUGGCCCGUACUAUAGGCUAAAGCUGGAAUAUACCUGCCAUACAUCAUAUGCUGCAUUCAGAAGAAAAGUUGGGGUCUGAAUAAUGCUCAAUAAAUUCUGUGGAAAGAAGCACUGCAAAAAAAAAGGGAAAAAAGUUUUGAUCACAUUAUUUCUUAGUAGUUCUGUAGGAACAUCUUUAGUGGGGAAACCAAGAUUACCGAAGUUGCGUCCAUCUUGGCAGUACAAGUUCCUGGCAAGUUCUUGGCCACUCCCUUUCAUGAGUAGGAAAUAAAGUUGUCAGCAUAAUGCGCUCAUAAGCAGAUUCUUGCUACCCAUAUAGAUAAAAACAAGCACAGAGUGCCAAUAUGAAAGUCAUUGUUAAGCGCAGAGCACAUUUCCAAUUAUCAACAAAUUAUAUUAAGCAUAGUUUAUUGAAUGGAAGAUCCACAUUAGUAUCUCUUUUAUCUACUCCUAUCAUCCUUGAACAUAUAAAAUGAGAGUAAUGAUGAUGAGAUUACCUGCAUAGUUACUACACCUUCAUAGAAGGAUCUUAGAGUGCGCCCACCAGCUACAUCAGUACUGCAAUGCAUAUAGAAACAAAUAAAUAUAGCAGACAUUCAAACAAAUAUUAGUAAAAGUUAUGUUGGAUCAUUUAUCAAUUUAUAGCAUAUCACUAAAGUGUCCGUUCACAUAAUUACGGAAGAUUGCAAUGUCAUUCAGAAAAAGAUAGAAUAAAGUAAAUAAAAUAUUUCCUGGCAACCAAUGAAAAUUUGUUUUAUAAUAAGCAAAAAGGUGAGUCAUACACAUCAAGGAACAAUCCAGCAUCAGCUAGGCACUUGACUUUAGUGUUUGCUGGAAGUAGUGCCCAAAACUCAUCACAGUGUAGUAUGGAAGCCAGACCCCCAGCAGAGCAUCCAGUAAGAAAGGCCUGGAAACAUCAAUUAUAUAAAAUCCGGAAUUAAUUUGAAAUCAUAUCCAAAAUAACAUAUAGGAGUAAGAUUAAAAGAAAAACCUGCUCUGCUGAAUGCAUUCCUUUUGACAUCAGGUCUUCCAUUGCAGCUGAAAAGAUACGUUGUCCUCGAAAAUAAAGGCCAGCAGCCUAUAUAUACAGCCCAAACAAUUUAAAACUAUCGGUAUAUAUAUGUAUCUGAUCAUUAUUUCAUAGGAAUCAAUUUGGCUGAAAUUAAAAUGUAUCAUCAUAGAGGACUAGUCACACCAUUAUGAGUCUAUUGACUGUGGAUACUACAUUGUAGUUCCCAGCAAAGAGCUUGUAAUGAAAUUUAGAAGUGAUCCCACUAACCUCAUUAUAGCCUUCACCUGCAAAUGAUGCACCAUCACAAUAGCGAAUUCUAACUCUGUUCCAGUUGUAGAAGUCUGGAAACAUUAUAACCAAAAUGGACAUGACAUUGAGUCCAAGAUUCGACCAACCACCAAUAGUUUAUUUCCACAGGUAGAAAAGCUACAUUUCUAAACAAAAAGCAAGGGCUUUUGAUAACAAUUACCUGGAUUUUCUUCGGGUUUGUUGCUCAAUAUUCCAGUAAAUGGUAUCUGUUUCUCCAUGUAGUUUGAUGAACCACGACGAGUUGUUUUGCGGUAUACACAUGUGCUGAUAUCAUUGCACCAGCCUCCCCCCUAAAUGUAUUCAAAAAUAGAAAUUGAGCAAAAGUUAUAUGUAUCUACAGCUCGUAGUUGCAUCAUCUGGGUGUAUAAUCAGUGUGCCCUCUACUACUAGCAUGCUGCAGGUCACAUGGAUUAAAAUUUGUAACUUUUUAACUGCAAGUCCUUUUUAACUUUGUAACUGUAAUUCAUUCACCUCUAGUUCAACAAGCCAAUUGUUUGCUCCUGAACCAGACCCUGGAUGCAGGUGGUAAGCACUUGGCGUUCCAUCCAAACAGACUGCACACACCAAAGAAGCCAAUUGAUCAACAAGUAAUUAUCUGUUUCACCCAAGCUGUUCGCUCGAGGUUAACUUGAAAACCACUAGGAGAGAUAAAAGAAGUGGAUAGCACCAAAAGAAAAAAAAAAUCUUUAGACUGUGUUUCCUGAAUUCUAACCCUUAAGACUGUACAAAAGAAGAAAGAUACAGGCUUAAUUUAAAAUCUAGGAUCUGGUUAGAUUGCUGUCAUAUCAACUCAUUCCACAUUAAAGUGAAGAAGAAAGUGAUGUUUCAGUGGUCGUUUUCUCACAAACCAUUAAUACUUCAUGCUCAAAUAGAAAUGCUCUGUUUUCUGAUUAACUUGGAACAGCAUAUUUUUACUUAUAUUUUUUCCCGUUAGGAGAUUCAGAUUUAAUAAACAAGACAACAUUCAAACUAGUUAUGGAUUAUAAAAUUGCAAAGCAUUAUUGAAUUGCUUUCCUUGCAAUAAUUUCUUGGCUGAAUACAGUAACAGAUUAAUAUGGUAUUUCAGCUAAAAAGGAUCUUGAGAAAACGAAGACCCCGUGGUGAGAGGCCUUGUUGGGAAAAUCUAGCUUGAACUAAAUUUACAAGUUAGGAAGAGAUACUAUUGGAGCUCUGGUGACAUAGGAAAUGAUAAAACCAGUAGCCCUAACCACACCGCGGAACAGAAGCAGAACCAUGAAGAGGAGAAAUGUGUCUCUGAAAAACAUUACAUGGCCAAGCAAAACGAAUCUCGCGAUCUAGCAUGGCAGGUAGGAACAAUAAACUUGCUUAUAUUAAAAAAAAUGAAAAUAUUUGUGGAUGCAUGUGUAUAUAUUUAUAGAUCAAGGAACCCAAAUUGUGGACCAUAAAAGAUAACUUAGAAAAAGAAUGUCUUUCCAAGAAAAAAAAGGAAAGAAAGAAAAAUCAUAUCGAAAGAUAGACAUGAUGGAAAUCAUGGGGGAGCAGCAAAUUGACCUGUUCAAACACAAGCAGACAGAAAUAACAGAAAGGCAGCCAUAAUGCCUCCAACAAGUCAAAUGAGCGUUAAAAAUUUAAGGAUGUAUGUACUGGCUAAUUAUUUUUAAAGCUUAAAAGAAAUUAACAGGAGCAGAACACAGAUCAAACCACUAAGAGAUGUAAAGAGCAGCAUAUCCAAUAACUGAAUAUACAACAAUGCAAUUUCUCGAACAUCAUAAACAAUAAUAACAUGAAAGACAGUCUACAGUUUUAAUGAUUGCAUAUCAGCAAAUCAUUCAUGGGAAAUAUUUAGAAAAAAAGAACAGCAGAAUUUAUACCAAACAAAACAGGGACACAUAGGAGGAGUGUGGGAGGCAGCAAAGACCGUACCAGCCCCAUUUUCGGUAGCAGAUCGAAUGAGGGUCAGAUCUACAAGGAGAGGCUGAGGGGCACUCCCAUUAACUCCAUCCAAGUAGUCAUAGCCCUGAACGCGCCUCACCACAACCAGCACAAGUAGCCCAACAACCCAGAGAGCCUUCAUGGGUUAUUGGAUUCUCUCCUCCCCUCUCUCUCCCUCCUCCUCCUCCUGGUUCUGUAGGCACGGAAGAAGGGAAAUGAAAGAACAGGGGAAGAGACCGAAGGCCGGCUAUGUAUAGGAGAGAGUCUCAGAGGCAGGAAAAGAGAGAAGGUAUCCGACCAAAAACAUGAAUGAAAAUAUUAAAAAAAAAAUAAUGCAGUCCUUUCAGGAAAUUUAGAUACGGUGAGUAAAAUGUGCCGCAAACAAAGGUAACCAUUCUCUCCAAAAAUGAAAAAUAUAGAUAAAAGAGGACACGGGUUUCCUGGCGUUAUUCGUUUCUUAUUUCCAUAAAGUGGGCCCCAUAUUGAACGCAGUAAUUGAACGCGAGGAUUUAAAUGUUUUCCUUAAAUGACGUUGAAACGGCGGAUCUCGCCCGCUCUUCUGUACAGGGAGCCGAUGGAUGAUUUCGGAAAGAAGAUCUUUAUCCUUCAAUGCAAUAAGACUUCUUACCUCCUUUGGCUCCUGGGGACCGUGCGGAGAUCGAAGAUAAGUUCGAGGGAUCUGGGAAAGAGAUUUUGUGUGCGGGAACGAGUUCUAUGUUGGGCAUAGGUGGAACGCAUUUGUGAAAGAGAAAAAUUACUUAAGCAGCAAAUGGUUGUGAUGGAAUUUUCUUUUCAUAUACAUGCACGAACGCAUUUUAACGGAGAUGGCCUUUUAGGGAAAAUAAAUUUUUUAUUACUACUUAUAAGCAAAGGUUGGAUUGAGCAAUAAAUGUAAUACAAUUAUUAGCAGUGUGCUGCAAACGCCAACCUAAAUACGAGUAAAUACUCCAAACUAGAAUUGCAACGUCAAAAUAAAAAGGCAAAGCUUCAUUAGGCGGAGUUUUUGGAGCGCCUCCUUUCUGGCUUUUCAAAGACACUUUUAGAUAAAAUAAGUGUGUUUGGUAAAAAAAUUGAAAAGUUAUUUUAGCUUUGGCAGAAAGCUAAAACAACUUUUUUUUUUUUUGGAGAAGCUCCAUCUCCAAAAAAAAUAUUUUUAAGCCCCUGGAAAAGUUAUUUUGAGCUAUAAAUUUUUUUCUUUUUGGACUAUAAUACCAAUGAUAAAAUAUAACAAUUACAGAAAAUAAUAUUAAUAUAGAAUUAUAAUAAUUAUAAUAUUUUAUAUAUUUAUUAUUAUGUUGUACUAUAAAUAUAAUAUUACAUUACAUUAUAUCAUAAUACAUUGAUGUAUUAUAUUAUAUAAUAUCAAAUUAUGCUAUAUUAUUAUGCUAUAGUACACAAUAUAUUAUAUUACUAUAUUAUAAUAGUAUUAUAUUAUAUAACAGUAAUAUUAUACUAUAUUAUAUAUUUAUGUAUUAAUAUAUAUUAUAUUUUAUUAUGCUCUGUUGUAUAAUACUAUGUAAUAUUUUUUAUGGUCAUUUUGUCAUAUCAAAUGUACUUUCUCAGUCUGUUCACUAAAUAUAUUAAAGUCUCACAUCAUUUUAGAAAUGUAAUUACCAAACAGCAAAUAGCUUUUUAUAAAAACUCUACUUCAAAAAGUUCUACUUCCAAAAGCUCUACUGCCAACAGCUCAACCAAAUGAGGCCUAAGUCCAUUUCUAAUUUUUUUUUUUAAUGAAAGAUUAGACUAAGGUUAAUGGCUUUUAUUAAGAGUCAAUCUUUUCCUGAUCAACCCGGAGUUGAUUGGGAAUAAUUUCUUGAUGUGAUGACAGAUAAUUAAAUAUGAUGAAGAAGAGGCUCUUAAGUGUCUUCCUAGUCGAGUAGUUUUUGAAAUAGCACCACAUCACAUGAAAGAGCAAAGAUGUUCACGUAGUUGACUUUAAAAACGUUCAUGGCUGUCGUUAUCUUGGUCCGGAAUUAUUCUCAAGUCCACUCCACCGACCUUAGGAUGUUGGAUUUGAGAGAUCAGUUUCACCACCCUCUGGACGCUGCAGUGUCGGUCAACUAGGAUUUGCCAAUAUUUCUCAGCGUUAAAAAGGUGGGUCCAGAGACCAAAUUAAUCACCACCACCGGAUGCAUGUUUUUCUCCCGUAUCUAUUAGUGAACUGGGUUGGAUUCUCUCUAUUGAAUUGAGGGAAAAAAUAAAACAAAAACCAAAGUUAAUAUUCGUUAUAAGACGAUCAUACGAAAUGAAGAAAACACAAUAGCAUGGACUUUUAAAUAAAUAAUUUUUGUUGCUUGGAAAUGAUAUUAAAACCAUUACUAGAUCUGAAGCCACACUACACCAACCCCACUAUCACUCCGAGCAAAAAGCACCAUCCUAGAUUGAUUCUGCUUUACUUACAGUUCGAUGGAGGGCCAUUUGAAACAUUGCUUUCUGCGCGUGCGUAUCUUGGUUCGGUUGCUGAGAUGGAGGUCAUCUUGAGGUUGCCAAGGGAAAGAGUGGAGAGGCAUGAUAGAAACUGAUGCGUUUUCCACUUGCAUGAUCGAUGCUUGGGAAAAGCAAAAGAAAAAAAUUAUUUAAAGAAUAGGAGAGAGAGGGGUCGAUUUCUAUCGUCUUUGCCUCUCAAGGUUCAUUUCAAAUUUCAUAUCCUUCCCCCUUUUUUUCCCCUCCUUCCCCUCUCAUACAAGCAGAAGUGCCAUCACCAGCUAAAACUUUCUUGACGAGGUAGGAUUGACAAGAUUUUUUAUGAGAAUAGUGAUUGAUCAUUUUCUAGAAUGAGAAUAGUUGUAACAACUCAGGAUCUCACCCAAAAUGGCUAGCUACAGGGUAUUAUUUGGAUUUCUUGAUCCUUUAUAAGUAUCCAAAAUCUACUCAACGAAUAACUGAUAUGAAACUAAACACAUGCUUACACGGAUCUUCACAUACUUCUCAUGUUUAAGCUCUAACGUGCUUAUCAGACUAAAAGUUUAAAUUUAUUCAAAUCUAAUCACAAACACCACGAUCAGUCUAUGAUCAGUCUAAACAGAACCGUGUUGUAGUGUCUCCUAGUCCACAUAGGUUAUAAGCUGGAUCUGCUUUGAUACCAUUUAUAACAACUCAAAAUUUCAUCCAAGAUGGCUAGCCAGAAGGUAUUAUUUGGAUUUCUUGAUCCUGUAUAAGUACCCAUGAUCUAUCCACCGCAUAACCGAUAUGAGACUAAAUAUAUGCCCGCAUGGAUCCUCACAAUAGUAACCCUGCCAAGAUGCUCAAAUACAUUCAUCUUGACCAAACUUAAAUGGUCAUCAAGAAUGCAUCAAAAUCUUUCUUGCUACAACUAUCACACUUCUAUAACCUUUCCUCUUUGAAUAUAGUCAAUAAAGGAUAUAUGUUGGAUGGUGGAAGAGCCAGCAUGUCACUUGCACAAGCAGAAUUUUAUUUUUGCUUCUGCUUUGUUAUUUUUUUUUUUUGUUGUACCGGCAUCUCGCGACAUUCAAAUGUGAGUACGCCUCGAAGAAUCCAAAUACAAAACAUGGCCAAUCCCCACGGAAUGAAGUCAGUGCCAUUCGAAGAGAAGGCUUCGGAAUGAUGUGCUACGAAAGAGGUGACUCAGUCGCCGCACUGUUCGCAUUGCGGAAUACAUGUACGACCCCAAAUGAGUCGAGACUCCCCAACAGGUGGCAGAUAUUCCAGACUAGUGGGUGUAGAUCUGGCCCGGCAUGCCCACCCCUAAUCCACUCAAAACUGUGGCCGAAUCGCCCUCCAACAGAAUACGCUGAGCCCCUAUGUGCACUUUGGUAUGAACGAGGCCGUCCCACACUGCGCGCAGCUCCGCCACUUGGACAUACUCAUCAAAAAUGUGACGCUCCCCUGUCGCAAUCAGCCUGAGCUAAUGAUCUCAAAUCACAAAACCCACACCACAUCUACCACCAUCCUCUGAAAUACUAUUUUGUUAUUCUUUGACCUUAUUAUGAAUAUGCAGUUACAACAAAUUACAAUCAGACUAAUAUUUUGAUAAUAAUUGAAUAAAUCUUAACAAGAUACAGGAUUAUGGCAUGUCUUGUCACAAGGAUAUGGGCAGUCUAUUGCCUUGACUUCAGCUCGAUCAAAGUACCAGUCACCAACAGAUUUUGCUAUCCCCUGCACAUGAACAGCCAAUGUAAAUAUAAUAGGUGAGAUAAGGAAACAUCUGUGAAACAGAAAUGGAGAAAGAAUUCUGGUUUCAUAGAUGAAGUAGCUAAGAACAUGCUGAUGUAGAAGGCUAAACAGAAAACUUUUCCAUCUCAUUUAUUUUUUCACAAGAUCAAGAGAAUCUAAAUACAAAAAAAUCAAAAUUUAUAUCUAAAGGCAACAGAUGUAGGAGCAGUCACAUCUCAGUCUUUCCUAAGCAAGCAUUCAUUGGUGUACACAUCUGCUUCCGUUUAAUUCUACGUGUUUAAAAUGCUGAUUUGAUCCAGAAGAAUGAUCAUUCUGAGUAAAAGAUCUAGGAAUUUUUGGAAUUUCAGCUCCUCCAUUUUUUGGCAUGUCCUUAAAAAGAAGCAAUGAAGAGAUUUAAGUCAUUAAUGCAGGAAAAAAGGGGAAGAUUGCACUAUUUUUUUGGCUACCAAAAACUAAGUACCUUACGAUGCACUAACCGAGAUCUCUUAUUUCAAUCUGUGUCAGCACAGCUUUGAAUGAUCACAGGAUAUAUUAGCAGUUAUGUAACUAGCCUUUCCUUUAAGAUGAGAACUAUUCGGUUCUGGCCGGAACCGGCCGGUUCGGUGCCAACUCGGUGUGAACCUGCUGGUUUGUACAGAGUCAAUCCGAUUUUGAACCAGAUUGGGUAUGGCAUUAUUGCCACUGGCACCUGAUGCCUUUUAUGUUGGAAAGGCCCGAGAAGGCCUUUCCAAGGCCUUUCCAACACAAAUUGAAAGCGGCUCCACCGCUUUUACUUUCUAAAAAAUUCACAAACAACACCGAUUCAAGCUAUCAGAAAAAAGAUCUAAGGCUAAAUAAGGUAUGUUUUCUCUCUCCUCUCCUUUUCUCCUUUUUUAUGGAGAGCUUGAAAAAAUAACUCAAAAAUUGCAAAAUAAAAAAGAUCAUAUUAAAAUUUUUGAUUUGGGCUUUUUUUUAUAUAUUGUAGAUCUAUAGAUGAUGUACACGCUGACAUAAAAAAUUUUAAUUUUUGGAAUAUAUAUAAUUUUUAAAAUUAAAAAAAUAGAAUUAAAAAAAUAAUUUUUAAAAAAUAAAUAAAAAAUAUAAAAAUUAGAAACACAUUUAGAGACAUAAAAGCUACUCUCCAUAAAAAUUUAGUAUCCAUUCAUUCAAGUUUUGAUGUGAUAAUGCACACAGUGGCCUAGACCUAAAUUUGAAAAAAAAUUAAGAAAUAAGUAGCCUUUGAUGCAUACCCGAGGACCUAUAAAAAUAUAUGUCGCAUCUAUUAUUUGGUUCUACAUGGAUCUGAUCUAAAAUUAUUUUUUUAAAUAAUAAUAUUAAAAAAUUAUUUAAAUUUAAAAAUAUAAAAUAUAUAAAUAAUACCAAAAAUUAGAUAAAAUUAGUAGUAUAUAUUACAUAAUUCAGAAGUAAUUUUUGAGGUAUAAAUCAUAUUUUUUGAAUUUAUGAUAUUUAAACAUUUUUAAUUUAAAAAAUUAAAAAUAUAUAAAUAAAUAAAUAAAGAAAAAUUAAGGUUAUGAAUUAGAUAAAUCUGAUGUAUUUUUUAAAGUAAAAAAAUUAACUUCGUCAGAAAUUAUCUUUUUAUUUUUAAAUAGUUGAUAAAUUGAUGUACUUGAUAAACUUGGAAUGGAGCCAUCACGAAAAAAAAGAUCCGGAGCAUGACAUUGGCUGAAAUCAUGGGCAAAUGCUCUCAGGCCGACACCAUUGAAAGUGCAAUUGGUGCAACAUAGAGUUCAAGGAAGGAGGGGUAACUAGAUUCAAAUAGUACUUAGCUGGUGGUUAUUCCGACGUAUCUAUGUACUAGAAAUACCCAUAAAAAGUUCGACAGCUGAUAAAGAAGCACUUUGCUAAUUUCAGAACAGCGAAGAUGAGGGUUGCCAAGAAGAAGACGGAGGUGGAUCGCUGACCGGCAGAACCAGCUUCCUAUCACUCCAGAAGUCAAAGGAUGUGUCUGCUCAAAAUGAAAAAGCAUAUAUUUAGGUUGCCAUGCAGGCGAGCUCGAAUGAUCAGUGGCACCUGAAUGAGGUAGCUAGGCAUAAGACUCGAUUUGGAUCCUCGUACUACGAGUCGAGCUCCGAUUCUGCGAGUAGCAGUUCAGGAGGACCACCUCAGUCGGAAGGUCGUCAGCGGAAACAAUGGCCGGAUUACAUCUAUGCUGAAGGCUUUUGGUAGCAGAAAGAAGUCAUCCAAAGAUAUUCCACCACUAACAACAAUCCAUAAUUUAAAUCCACAUACCUUCCUCAACAGAGAUUCGAAAUAGCAGAGGGUUGACUCAAUGCUGAAAAAGGAUAAGAAGAAAGAUAUGUGGCGAGCUAUUGGAUCCUGAUUCCACUUCAGUUAUAUCCCAGGGAAUGUAGCAGACAAUAUGUACUACAAUGCCGCUUGGUUAGAGGAGUGGGCUGAUGUACCUCCUAACUAUGCUGAUAAUCCGGAUAUCUGCGAAAGACAUCGCCAUUGGACCCAAUUUUAGAUGUCGUUACAUAUGUUGGACAUUAAAUGUAUGUAAUUGAUUGUAUUAUUUUUAAAUUUUUACGUCACUACUUGAUUUAAAGAUAUUUUAUGUUGAUUAUUUUAUGAUUUGUAUCAUUUUAAAGCGCAAUAAGAUGUAUCAUCUAGGUUAAACUGAGAUCAUAAAAAUAUCAAAAAAAUAUUAAAUUAGACUUAAAUUUAUUGAAAAAGUUUAAAAAGAAUGAUUACCAAUUAAAUUUUUUGAGAACUAAAAAAAAUAGGUGUGCCGAUCGGUGAACUGGCACGCCCUACUAGUUUAGUACGGUACCGAACCGUACCGAGCAUCGACCGAUACAGGUCUUAGUACCGGUUCGGUGUACCUUGGUUAGGCUAUAUAUUAUGUGCAUAUUGGUGACUAUAUGUACAAGAGCCAAAAGUCUGACCUUCUUAAUCUCUUAUUUCCGUCUUUUAGAAAGCUGAAAAGUUGAGUUAUGGCACACCCUACCAAUUCAGUACAGUACCGAACUGUACCGAGCGCCAACAUAUACGGGUCUCGAUACCAGUUCGGCGUACCUUGGUUAGGCUAUAUAUUAUGUGCAUAUUGGUGACUAUAUACAAUAUACAGAGAUUUCAUCUUCUACCUUUUGUGUUAAUAUGGUAUCGGAGCAAUCUAACACUAAUCUCUAAAUAGUAGGCUCCUAUCAAGAAAAACCUAGUUAUGAAGUUACAGCCACUUUAAAUUCUGAUGUUGAAAAUCUUUUACAAAGGAUUUAGGUAUUCUAGGAAAAGUGCCCACUCAACAUGACCAAUAAAAAGAAAAAAAAUGAGAAAAAUCUGUACAUGGUUGAACUUAUUACUCCAUCCCCCACUUAAUAGAUAGUAUCAUAGUCUACCAUGAAAUUUAUCUCUGACACCGAAAAUAAGGAGAUAGUUCGAAAACAAGGAGAUAGUUAGCAUGUUUAAUUUUCUCAAAUCUUUAUCAAAUGCAUGGAAAUAAUUUUUAACAUUUUAGCAUUUUACUAUAUAACUAAGUUAUCUCUACCAAAUAUGGUCGUACCUUGUUUUGGAUAGUUGGAGAGUUAUCUCCAUACCAUGUAUCCUGUGUCUCUGAUUGGCAAUGAGCAAAACAUGAAUUAAUAAAUAGUCCAUUUUGCUUGGAAUUAGAGAACCCUUUUGUGGCGUCAAGCAUUUGGUUCCUCAAUCCUGAACAACAACAUGCAUGAAUUACAUGUUAGAACAGAACAUUGCAUAUUAAACCAAGUAGUGACAAAGAACCCAAAUAGGUACCUUGCAGAAAAUUUAUUUGAUCUUCAUUGCACUCUGAAUAAUUAUAUUUGCAUGCUUUCCAAUAACCUUUAGGAUCAGCAUUCUCGGAGGUUAAACUUCGAAUCUGAUGACGUAAUGAAGGUGGAAAAACAACUUGUUAGAAUGGAAGCAAAAAAAUUCUCAAAAUAAAAAGAAAGAAAAAAAGACUGGAAGAAAGCAAUCUGGCUAUUCCUAUAUUUUCGUAAGUCCAUAUUGAAGAAAAUUUAAUUUAAUAAAGCCCCACCAGAAUAGCAGUCAAAACAAAAUCUGCCAUUGGUCUGUGAAACAACUUGCUAUAAAAAUGACCCGUACUACAAGUUAAAGCUGAAAUAUACCUGACAUACAUCAUAUGCUGCAUUCAGAAGAAAAGUUGGGGUCUGAAUAAUGCUCAAUAAAUUCUGUGGAAAGAAGCACUGCAAAAAAAAAGGGAAAAAAGUUUUGAUCACACUAUUUCUUAGUAGUUCUGUAGGAACAUCUUUAGUGGGGAAACCAAGAUUACCGAAGUUGCGUCCAUCUUGGCAGUACAAGAUCCUGGCAAGUUCUUGGCCACUCCCUUUCAUGAGUAGGGAAUAAAGAUGUCAGCAUAAUGCGCUCAUAAGCAGAUUCUUGCUACCCAUACAGAUAAAAACGAGCACACAGUGCCAAUAUGAAAGUCAUUGUUAAGCGCAGAGCCCAUUUUCAAUUAUCAUCAUAUUAUAUUAAGCAUAGUUUAUCGAAUGGAAGAUCCACUUUAGUAUCUCUUUUAUCUACUCCUAUCAUCCUUGAACAUAUAAAAUGAGAGUAAUGAUGAUGAGAUUACCUGCAUAGUUACUACACCUUCAUAGAAGGAUCUUAGAGAGCGCACACCAGCUACAUCAGUACUGCAAUGCAUAUAGAAACAAAUAAAUAUAGCAGACAUUCAAACAAAUAUUAGUAAAAGUUAGGCUGGAUCAUUUAUCAAUUUAUAGAAAAUUUGUUUUAUAAUAAGCAAAAAGGUGAGUCAUACACAUCAAGGAACAAUCCAGCAUCAGCUAGGCACUUGACAUUAGUGUUUCCUGGAAGUAAUGCCCGAAACUCAUCACAGUGUAGUAUGGAAGCCAGACCCCCAGCAGAGCAUCCAGUAAGGAAGGCCUGGAAACACCAAUUAUAUAAAAUCCGGAAUUAAUUUGAAAUCAUGUCCAAAAUCACAUACUAAAAGAAAAACCUGCUCGGCUGAAUGCAUUCCUUUUGACAUCAGGUCUUCCAUUGCAGCUGAAAAGAUACGUUGUCCUCGAAAAUAAAGGCCAGCAGCCUAUAUAUACAGCCCAAACAAUUUAUAACUAUCGGUAUAUAUAUGUAUCUGAUCAUUACUUCAUAGGAAUCGAUUUGGCUGAAAUUAAAAUGCAUAAUCAUAGAAGACUAGUCACAUCAUUAUGAGUCUAUUGACUGUGGAUACUACAUUGUAGUUCCUAGCAAAGAAAUUGUAAUGAAAUUUAGAAGUGAUCCCACUAACCUCAUUAUAGCCUUCACCUGCAAAUGAUGCACCAUCACAAUAGCAAAUUCUAACUCUGUUCCAGUUGUAGAAGUCUGGAAGCAUUAUAACCAAAAUGGAGAUGACAUUGAGUCCAAGAUUCGACCAACCACCAACAGUUUAUUUCCUCAUGUAGAAAAGCUACAGUACUAAACAAAAAAGCAAGGGCUUUGGAUAACAAUUACCAGGAUUUUCUUCGGGUUUGUUGCUCAAUAUUCCAGUAAAUGGUAUCUGUUUCUCCAUGUAGUUUGAUGAACCACGACUAGUUGUUUUGCGGUAUACGCAUGAACUGAUAUCAUUGCACCAGCCUCCCCCCUAAUGUUUUCAAAAAUUGAAUUUGAGCAAAAGUUAAAUGUAUCUACAGCUCGUAGUUGCAUCAACUGGGUGUAUAAUCAGUGUGACCUCUACUACUAGCAUGCUACAGGUCACAUGGAUUAAAAUUUGUGACUUUUUAACUGCAAGUCCUUUUUAACUUUGUAACUGUAAUUCAUUCACCUCUAGUUCAACGAGCCAACUGUUUGCUCCUGAUCCAGACCCUGGAUGCAGGUGGUAAGCACCUGGCGUUCCAUCCAAACAGACUGCACACACCAAAGAAGACAAUUGAUCAACGAGUAAUUAUCUGUUUCACCCAAGCUACUCGCUCGAGGUUAACUUGAAAACCACUAGGAGAGAUAAAAGAAGUGGAUAGCACCAAAAGAAAAAAAAAACUUUAGACCGUGUUUCCUGAAUUCUUACCCUUAAGACUGUACAAAAGAACAAAGAUACAGGCUUAAUUUAAUAUAUAGGAUCUGGUUAGAUUGCUGUCUUAUCAGUUCAUUCCACAUUAAAGUGAAGAAGAAAGUGAUGAUUUGGAGGUCGUUUUCUCACAAACCAUUAAUACUAACAAAAUAUUUUUGCUUAUAUUUUUUUCCCGCUAGGAGAUUCAGAUUUAAUAAAGUAAGACAACAUUCAAACUAGUUAUGGAUUAUAAAAUCGCAAGGAGUUAUUGAAUUGCUUUCCUUGCAAAAAUUUCUUGCCUGAAUACGGUAUCAGAUUAAUAUGGUAUUUCAGCUAAAAAGGAUCUUGAGAAAACGAAGACCCCGUGGUGAGAGGCAUUGUUGGGAAAAUCUAGCUUGAACUAAAUUUACAAGUUAGGAAGAGAAACCAUUGGAGCUCUGGUGACAUAGGAAAUGAUAAAACCAGUAGCCCUAACCACACCACGGAACAGAAGCAGAACCAUGAAGAGGAGAAAUGUGUCUCUGAAAAACAUUACAUGGCCAAGCAAAAGGAAUCUCGCGAUCCAGCAUGGAAGGUGGGAAGAAAAAACUUGAUUAUAUUAAAAAAAAUGAAAAUAUCUAUGGAUGCAUGUAUAUAUAUUUACAGAUCAAGGAACCCAAAUUGUGGACCAUAAAAGAUAACUUUAGAAAAAGGAUGUCUUUCCAAGGAAAAAAAACAAGGAAAGAAAGAAAAUUCAUAUUGAAAGACAGACAUGAUGGAAAUCAUGGGGGAGCAGCAAAUUGACCUGUUCAAACACAAGCAAACAGACAUAACAGAAAGGCAGUCAUAAUGACCCCAACAAGUCAAAUGAGCAUUAAAAAUUUAAGGAUAUAUGUACCGGCUACUUAUUUUUAAAGCUUAAAAGAAAUUAACAGCAGCAGAACACAGAUCAAACCACUAAGAGAUAUAAAGAGCAGCAUAUCCAAUAACUGAAUAUACAACAAUGCAAUUUCUUGAACAUCAUAAACAAUAAUAACAUGAAAGACAGUUUACAGUUUAAAUAAUUACAAAAGGAAAGUGCAUGUCAGCAAGUCAUUCAUGGGAAAUGUUUAGAAAAAAAGAACAGCAGAAUUUAUACCAAACAAAACAGGGACACAUAGGAGGAGUAUGGGAGGCAGCAAAGACCGUACCAGCCCCAUUUUCGGUAGCAGAUCGAAUGAGGGUCAGAUCUACAAGGAGAGGCUGAGGGGCACUCCCAUUAACUCCAUCCAAGUAGUCAUAGCCCUGAACGCACCUCACAACAACCAGCACAAGUAGCCCAACAACCCGGAAAGCCUUCAUGGGUUAUUGGAUUCUCUCCUCCCCUCUCUCCCUCCUCCUCGUCCUCCUGGUUCUGUAGGCACGGAAGAAAGGGAAAUGAAAGAGCAGGGGAGGGUCAGAUUGUUUCACCUCGGAGACAGGACAGUCCAGAAGAGACAGAAGGCCGGCUAUGUAUAGGAUAGAGUGUCACAGGUUGGAAAAGAGAGAACGUAUCCGACCAAAAAUAUAGAAUGAAAAUAUAUAAAAAAAAAUUGUGCAGUCCUUUCAAGAAAUUUAGAUACAGUGAGGAAAAUGUGCAGAAAACAAAGGUUACCUACCAUUCCUUCCAAAAAUGAAAAAUAUAGAUAAAAGAGGACUGAUAUGCGUGCCUUCGGAUGGGAGGACGCGGGUUUCCUGGCGUUUUUCGUUUCUUGUUUCCAGAAAGUGGGCCCCAGAUUGAGUGCAGUAAUUGAACGCGAGGAUUUAAGUGUUUUCCUUAAGUGGUGUUGAUACGGCGGAUCGGCCGCCCUUCUGUACGGGGAGCUGAUGGAUGAUUUCGGAAAGAAGGUCUUUAUCCUUUAAUGCAACGAGACUUCUUACCUUCAUUGGCUCCUGGGGACCGUUUGGAGAUCCAAGAUAAGAUCGAGGGAUCUAGGAAAGAGGUUGUGCGUGCAGGAGCGAGUUCUAUGUUGGGCAUACGUGGAACGCAUAGUGAAAGAGAAAAAUUACUCACGCGGCAAAUGGUUGUGAUGGAAAUUUUUUUCAUAUACAUACAUACUGAUGGAAGGCAAAAUGGAUUGUCCUACUCCAGCAUGGAAUCAUCCAAUUCUUACCGUGCAGGCUAGGCCUCAGCCCCACUAAAAGUCAAGCCGACCUCGGGCCCUGCCGAAAGCCGAGCCGACCUCGACAAGAGGCCAGGCCGAUCUCACCAAGCAUAUGCCGUGGCCUCCAAGCAUGCCACGCCUACCAGGAGUCAUACCAUGCUAUACCUACCAAAGGCCAUACCCAGCCACACCAUGCCAUGCACAAGGACUGUCCAAACCAUGUGCCUCAAGUAAGCUUUGGCCUUGACCGCGAGCCCUGGCCUAUGCCACCUGGCCAAGACCAUCUUCUCCCAUGAUGAGGAUGGACCAUAAUCUGCCACAUCAUGACGUGCACAAGGACUGCCCAAAUCGUGUGCCUUAAAGGAGCCCUGGCUUUGGCCACACGCCACUUGGCCAAGACCAUUUCCUCCCAUGAUAAUGAUGGAGCAUACCGCAGCCACUUGGGCACCAUUGUAAGGACUAUAAAUAAGCCAUAUCAAAAACACUUAGGAACCUGUUUUCCAAAAAAAUUGUUUGAUCAACUCUAACUUAACCAUCGGGAGGCCUUUGCCGGAAUCCCUGAUCAAGACUUUGUGCAGGUACCUCGGAGUGUAGAAGGUGGCCCCCCUUUUUUAUCUCAGUCGGCAUCUUCUCGGCUUCCUCCGGCGUGGUCACCCUCAGGCCAAAUUUCAACCCCAACACAUACAUAAACACAUUUUAACGGAGGCAGCCUUCUAAGGAAAAUAAAUGUUGUAUUACUAUUUAUAAGCAAAGGUUGGAUUGAGCAAUAAAUGUAAUAUAUUUAUUAGCAGUGUGCUGCAAAUACCAACCUAAAUAUGAGAAAAUACUCCAAACUAGAAUUCCAACGUCAAAACCAGAAGCCAAGUUUCCAUUUGGCGGAGCUUUUAGAAGGUGACCCUCCAAAGAUACUUUUAGAUGAAAUAAGUGUGUUUGAUAAAAAAUCGGAAAGAUAUUUUAGCUUCGCCAGAAAACUAAAACAGCUUUUGGGGAGAAGCUCCAUCUCCAGAAAAGUACUUUUAGGCUCUGUCGGAAAGCUGUUUUGAGUUAUAAAAAUUUUUCUUGUUAGACCAAAAUACCCAUGAUAAAAUAUAACAAUUACAGAAAAUAAUAAUAUUAAUAUAUUAUGAUAAUAAUUAUAAUAUUUUAUAUAUUUAUUAUUGUAUUAUACUAUAAAUAGUAUAUUAUAUUAUAUUAUAUCAUAUUAUAUUAUAUUAUAUUAUAUUAAAUUAUGCUAUAUUAUUAUGCUGUAGUAUAUAAUAUUAUAUUACUAGUCCAGGCAGUUGACUCNNNNNNNNNNNNNNNNNNNNNNNNNNNNNNNNNNNNNNNNNNNNNNNNNNNNNNNNNNNNNNNNNNNNNNNNNNNNNNNNNNNNNNNNNNNNNNNNNNNNNNNNNNNNNNNNNNNNNNNNNNNNNNNNNNNNNNNNNNNNNNNNNNNNNNNNNNNNNNNNNNNNNNNNNNNNNNNNNNNNNNNNNNNNNNNNNNNNNNNNNNNNNNNNNNNNNNNNNNNNNNNNNNNNNNNNNNNNNNNNNNNNNNNNNNNNNNNNNNNNNNNNNNNNNNNNNNNNNNNNNNNNNNNNNNNNNNNNNNNNNNNNNNNNNNNNNNNNNNNNNNNNNNNNNNNNNNNNNNNNNNNNNNNNNNNNNNNNNNNNNNNNNNNNNNNNNNNNNNNNNNNNNNNNNNNNNNNNNNNNNNNNNNNNNNNNNNNNNNNNNNNNNNNNNNNNNNNNNNNNNNNNNNNNNNNNNNNNNNNNNNNNNNNNNNNNNNNNNNNNNNNNNNNNNNNNNNNNNNNNNNNNNNNNNNNNNNNNNNNNNNNNNNNNNNNNNNNNNNNNNNNNNNNNNNNNNNNNNNNNNNNNNNNNNNNNGAAACUGAUGUGUUUUCCACUUGCAUGAUCGAUGCUUGGGAAAAGCAAAAGAAGAAAAUUAUUUAAAGAAUAGGAGAGAGAGGGGUCGAUUUCUAUCGUCUUUGCCUCUCAAGGUUCAUUUCAAAUUUCAUAUCCUUCCCUCUUUUUUUCCCUCCUAUACAAGCAGAAGUGCCAUCACCAGCCAAAACUUUCUUGACGAGGUAGGAUUGACAGAAAUAUUCUUGUCUCCCUUCCUAGUAUAUCCUACCAAGAUUCUUUAUAAUUUUCCUGAUUGAUCAUUCCCUAGAAUGAGAAUAGUUAUAACAACUCAGGAUCUCACCCAAAAUGAUUAGCCGGAAAGUAUUAUUUUGAUUUCUUGAUCUUAUAUAAAUAUCCAAAAACUAUCCAGCAAAUAAUCGACAUGGAGCUAAACACACGUCCGCACGGAUCCUCACAUACUCCUUCUGUUUAAACCCUGACAUCCUCAUUAGGCUAAGAGUUUAAAUUCAUUCAAAUCUAAUCUAAACACCACAAUCGGCCUGCGGUCGGCCUGAAUAGAAUCGUACUGCAGUGUCCCUAGUCCACAUAGAUUAUAGAUUGGGUCCGCUCUGAUACUAUUUAUAACAACUCAGGAUUUCAUCCAAAAUGGCUAGCCGGAAGGUAUUAUUUGAAUUUCUUGAUCCUGUAUAAGUAUCCAAGAUCUAUCCACCGAAUAACCGAUAUAGGACUAAAUACACGCCCGCACGGAUCCUCACAAUAGUAAACCUAUCAAGAUGCUUAAAUACAUUCAUCUUGACCAAACUUAAAUGGUCAUCAAGAAGGAAUACAACAAAAUCUUUCUUACUACAACAACUAUCAGAAUUCUAUAACCUUUCCUCUUUGAAUAUAAUCAGGAAAGAAUAUAUGCUGGACAGUGGAAGAGCCAGCAUGUCACUUGCACAAGCAGAAUUCUGUUUUUGCUUCUGCUGUGUUAUUCUUUGACCUUAUUAUGAAUAUGCAGCUACAACAAAUUACAAUCGGACUAAUAUUUUGAUAAUAAUUGAAUAAACUUAACGAGAUACAAGAUUAUGGCAUGUCUUGUCACAAGGAUAUGGGCAGUCUAUUGCCUUGACUUCAGCUCGAUCAAAGUACCAGUCACCAACAGAUUUUGCAAUCCCCUGCACAUGAACAGCCAAUGUAAAUAUAUUGGGUGUGAUGAGGACUCUUAACAUCUGUGAAACAGAAAUGGAGAAAGAAUUAAUUCUUGUUUUGUAGAUGAAGUAGCUAAGAACAUGUUGACGUCGAAGGUUACAAAGCAUAGUUUUCCAUCUUAUUUACUUGUUUACAAGAUCAAGAGAUUCUAAAUACCAAAAUAUCAAAAUUUAUAUUCAAAAGCAACAGAUCUAGUAGCAGUCGCAUCUCAAUCUUUCCCAAGCAAGCUUUCAUUGGUGUACACAUCUGCUUAUGUUUAAUUUGUACAUGUUUAAAAUGUUGAUUUGAUCAGGAGGAUGAUCACUCUGAGUAAAAGAUCUAGGAAUUUUUGGAAUUUCAGCUCCUCCAAUUUUUACCAUGUCCUUAAAAAGAAGAAAUGCAGAGAUUUAAGAUAUUAAUGCAGAAAAAAAGGGAAAUGUUACUCCACUUUUUUGGCUACCAAUACCUAAGUAAGCUCCUUAUGAUACUCUAACCAAGCUCUCCAAUUACAAUUAGUCUCACAAUAGCCUUGAACAGUCACAGCACAUAUUACCAGCCAUAAAACUAGUCUCCCCUUUAAGAUGAGAAUCUUCCUCAUUUCUUUGGGUUGUUUGCAUGUCAACUAAUUAACAUUUGGAUCUUUCAAAGAAACUAAGGGGAACAAAAUGAUCUAUUCGACAAUUGUAUAGCAUCAGCCUUGCCCCUUAGACAUUGCCAUGGAUAAACAGAACUAUGGCAGUUCCAUGAAUUGAAAUUUGUUUUGGAUUCUUCUAACCAUAUUUAAGACAAGCAUCACUUAGAUCACUAAAUAGUAGGCUCCUAUCAAGAAAAACCUAAUUAUGAAGUUUCAGCUGCAUUAUAUUCUGAUCUUGAAAUUCUUCUGCAAAGGAUUGAUGUAUUCUAGGAAAAGGGCACACUUAACAUGACAAAUAAAAAGAAAAAAAGUGAGAAAAUGUACAAGUGGUUGAACUUAUUUCUCCAUCUCCCACUUUAUAAAUAGUACCAUAGGCUACUAUGAAAUUUAUCUCUCUCACUGAAAAUAAGGAGGUAGUUAGCAUGUUUAUUUCUUAAAUCUCUAUCACAUGCAUGGAAAUAGUUUUAACAUGUUAGAAUUUUAGUGUACAACUAAGUUAUCUCUAACCAGAAACGGAUACCCAAUAUGGUCAUACCUUUUCUUCUAUAGUUGGAGAGUUAUCUGCAUACCACGUAUCCUGCCUCUCCGAUUGGCAAUGAGCAAAACAUGAAUUAAUAAAUAACCCAUUUUGCUUGCAUUUUGAGAACCCAUUCGUGGCAUGAAGCAUUUGGUUCCUGAAGUCUGAGCGAUAACAUGUAUGAAUUACAUGUUAGCAUGGAACAUUGCAGAUUAAACCAAGAAGUGACAAAAAACCCAAAUAGGUACCUUGCAGAAACUUUAUUUGAUCUUCAUUGCACUUCAAAUAAUUAAAUUUGCAUGCUUGCCAAUGACCUUCAGGAUCAGCAUUCUUGGUGGCUAAACUUUCUUGAAUCUGAUGAUGUAAGAAAGGUGGAAAAACAACAUGUUGGAACAGAAGCAAACAAUUUCUCAAAAUAAAAGGAAUGAAAAAAGAAUGGAAGAAAGCAAUCUAGCUAUUCCUAUAUUUUCAUAAGUCCAAAUUGAGUCCAAGAGAAAAUUUAACUUAAUUUCAUUAGAAAAAAAAUAAACAAACAUAUGGAGCCCCACUAGAAUUGCAGUCAAAACAAAAUCUGCCAUUGGUCUGUGAAACAACUUGCUAUUAAAAAUGACCCAUACUACAGGCUAAAGCUGGAAGAUACCUGCCAUACAUCAUAUGCUGUAUUCAAAAGAAAAGUUGGGGUCUGAAUAAUGCCCAAUAAAUUCUGUGGAAAGAAACACUGCAAAACAAAAAAAACAGAGAAAAAAGUUUUGAUCACACUGUUUCUUAACAGUUCUGUAUGAACAUCUUUAGUGGAGAAACAAGAUUACCGAAGUUGCAUUCAUCUUGGCAGUACAUUUUCCUGGCAAGUUCUUGGCCACUCCCUUUCAUAAGUAGGGAAUAAAUAUGUCAGCAUAUUGCGCUCAUAAACAAAUUCUUGCUAACCAUAAAGAUGGCGACCCAUAAAAGCAUGCACACAGUGCCAAUAUGAAAGUCAUUGUUAAGUGCAGAGCACAUUUUCGAUUAUCAUCAUAUUAUAUUAAGCAUAGUUUAUUGAAUGGAAGAUUCACUUUAGUAUCUCUUUUAUCUACUCUUAUCAUCCUUGAACAUAUAAAAUAAGAGUAAUGAUGAUGAGAUUACCUGUAUAGUUACUACACCUUCAUAGAAGGAUCUUAGAGUGUGCCCACCAGCUACAUCAGUACUGCAAUGCAUAUGGAAACAAAUAAAUAUAGCAGACAUUCAAACAAAUAUUAGUAAAUGUUAGGCUAGAUCGUUUAUCAAUUUAUUACAUAUCACAGAAUUGUCCAUUCAUAUAAUUACGGUAGAUUGCAUAGUCAUUCAGAAAGAGAUAGAAUAAAGUUAAAAAAAUAUGUCUUGGUGAACAAUGAAGAUUUGUUUUAUAAUAAGCAAAAGAUUCAUACGCAUCAAGAAACAAUCCAGCAUCAGCUAGGCACUUGACUUUAGUGUUUCCUGGAAAUAAUGCCCGAAACUCAUCACAGUGUAGUAUGGAAGCUAGACCCCCAGCAGAGCAUCCAGUAAGAAGGACCUGGAAACAUCAAUUACCAAAAAUCAGGAAUGCAUUUGAAAUCAUGUUCAAAAUCACAUAUAAGAGUAAGAUUAAAAGAAAAACCUGCUUGGCUGAAUGCAUUCCUUUUGACAUCAGGUCUUCCAUUGCCGCCGAAAAGAUACGUUGUCCUCGAAAAUAAAGGCCAGCAGCCUAUAUAUACAGCCCAAAACAAUUUAUAACCAUCGGUAUUAUGAUGUAUCUGAUCAUUUACUUCAUAGGAAUUGUUUUGGCUGAAAUUAAAAUAUAUAAUCAUAGAAGACUGGUCGCACCAUUAUGAGUCUAUUGGCUGUGGAUACUAAUAUAUUGUAGUUCCUAGCAAAGAACUUGCAGUGAAAUUUAGAAAUGAUCCCACUAACCUUGUUAUAGCCUUCACCUGCAAAUGAUGCACCAUCACAGUAGCGAAUUCUAACUCUGUUCCAGUUGUAGAAGUCUGGAAGCAUUAUAACCAAAAUGGACAUGACAUUGAGUCAGAGAUUCGACGAACCACCAAUAGUUUAUUUCCUCAAGCAGAAAAGCUGCAGUACUAAAUGAAAAGGCAAGGGUUUUGGUUAAAAAUUACCUGGAUUUUCUUCAGGUUUGUUGCUCAAUAUUCCAGUAAACGGUAUCUGUUUCUCCAUGUAGUUUGAUGAACCACGACGAGUUGGUUUGCGGAACACACAGGUCCUGAUAUUAUUGCACCAGCCUCCCCCCUAAUGUAUUCAAAAAUAGCAUUUGAGCAAAAGCUAAUGAAUGCUCGGCUCUUAGGUGCAUCAUGUCGGUGUUUAAUCAGUGUGACCUCUACUACUAGCAUGCCACAGGUCACAGGAAUUAAAAUUUGUAACUUUUCAACUGCAAGUUUUUUUUAACUUUUUAACUGUAAUUCAUUCACCUCUAGUUCAACGAGCCAACUGUUUGCUCCUGAUCCAGAACCCGGAUGCAGGUGGUAAGCACCUGGUGUUCCAUCCAAACAGACUGCACCAAAAAAAAAGGGACAAUUGAUCAACAAGUAAUUAUCUGUUUCCUCCAAGCUGCUCGCUCGAGGUUAUCUUCAAAACCACUAGGAGAGAUAAAAGAAGAAGAUAGCUUAAUAAAAAAAAAAACUUUAGACCCUAUUUACUGAAUUCUAACCCUAUAGACGGUUACAAAGAAGAAAGAUACGGGCACUAACAUCUAGUGGAUCUGGCUAGAUUGCUGUCUUAUCAGCUCAUUCCACAUUAAAGUCAACGAAGAAAGUGAUGUUUUGGUGGUGGUUUUCUCACAAACCAUUAAUACUUUGUGCUCAAACAGAGAGGUUCUAUUUUCUGAUAAACUUAGAACAUCAUAUUUUUAUUUAUAUUUUUUCCCGUUUAGGAGAUUCUGAUUCAAUAAACAAGACAACAUUAAACUUGCUAUGGAUUAUGAAAUUGCAAGCAGUUAUGGAAUUGUUUUCCUUGCAAUGAUUUCUUGCUUGAAUACAGGAUCAGAUUACUAUGGUAUUUCAGCUAAAAAGGAUCUUGAGAAAACGAAGAUCCCCUGGUGAGGAGCAUUGUUGGGAAAAUUUUGCUUGAACUAAAUUUCCAAGUUAGGAGGAGAUAUCAUUGGAGCGCUGGUAACAUAGGAAAUGAUAAAUCCCCAAAAAGACAUAGGAAAUGAUAACAACAGUAACCAUAACCACACCAUGCAACAGAAACAGAACCAUGAAGAGGAGAAAUAUGUCUCUGAAAAUCAUUUACAUUGCCACACAAAAGGAAUCUCGCAAUCUAGCAUGGCAGGUAGGAACAAUAUACUUGAUUAUAUUAAAUAAAAUGAAAAUGUUCGUGUAUACAUGCGUGCAUAUUUAAGAUCAAGAAACCCAAAUUAUGGACCAUAAAGGAUAACUUAGAAAAAGAAGGUCUUUCCAAGAAAAAAAAGGGAAAGAAAGAAAAAUCAUAUCAAAAGAUAGACAUGAUGGAAGUCAUGGGGGAGCAGCAAAUUGACCUCUUCAAACACAG
rnacentral:lncRNA from 1 species